UUUUUCGUAACAACAAAAACCAGAAGUAGGACCAAACCGAGAGUGAGUAGCAUAGACAAGGAUAGAUUUGUGAAUGAGACAUAGUACUUGCCAAUAUUCAGAUCCAGAAUUGGGUGAAUUCCAAAUUGAUCCAAUGGGCUUUCUGUUACUGGUCCGCCGCCUCCAGGGAUAAUGAUUGAGCCGUUAUUUACUAUCUCGCCGUUCCUUUCCAUCUCAUCGUACAGAUCUCUUAGAGGCUGACCCAAUCGACUUGCUUCUACCCCAUGCGCUCGUAUAUCAUCAUAUAUUUCGGAAAAGCUGUGCCCAGCCUCGCGUUGGGGAAAGAGUAACCGUUGGCGGAAAUCGCGUAGAACCUCACGGUCUUGAAUGCUCCUUCCAAUUGAAGAUAAAUAUCUGUCUAUUCGUAGGAGUAUACAGACCCCUCUGGUUGCCUCUCUUGAAACUGGAGGGUAUUCUUCUUCAUAUUCAUAAUAAUCAGGUAAACUUAAAUUACGAAUUGGCACCAUAUUAGCCAAUAUUCUAUUUCUUCUCUUCAUAUCAGUGGAACUCCAUCUAGUCAUCAUCAUCAUGGAGUAACUAUAUAAAAUCAAAUACAAUCUGCUCCCAAAAGAGACUUGGUUCUACCCAACGAAAUCUUUUCAUGAGCGGUAGAGUAGACUGAACACCCACACAAUCUCGAUUUGACAAUUUCAGAAAUGGAAGAAUUUACCAAUGAGACCGUCUACAGCAGAGAGGCUACCAGGACACGACCUUUCGCACAAUGGAAAUGGUACUACUGUGUCCCUAAGGGCCCCUCCUUUUCAGAGAGAACUGAAUCAGAACAUCUUUCUCUAUGAAAAUGGGAGAGUAAAAAGGGAACCGAAAACAUUGAUGUGAGAGCAAUGAUGAAUCGAGCCGCAUCACAUCAACUAGAGAACUUAACAUACGAGUUUUCUAUCAAAACUAUUACCCAUCAAUCUCUAUCCUCGGGGAUAGAAUCCAGCUCACGGCGUACCUGAUAACUACGCUUAUAUACGUCAAUUCAUGGGAAGAUGCUUACAGGAACUUCCAACUACUCACUUUGAGCAGGCGGAAGGAUAGCGAUUUUUUUCCUUAAGUAAAAUCCGGUUGAUGCCCAAAUUCCCAUUGAAAUGCAGAAGUCGAAAAUCCAUUUGGGUUAGGAGAUAUGAAGUAAGCAGUAUUGGAUGGAUCCUUAGUUCGGGGGCUACUGGGCCGGUUCUUGGAGAUCAAAAAAGUUCUCCGUUUUCUUCUAAGUGUUGAUGGGAACAGUCGUAAAGAUCCUUUCUAGUAAGAAGAUCCUUUCUAGUGGACCUCGGGAAGUAGUGUAAAGCAUGAGCCCAUCUCUUCUCCCGAUAUCACAAGAAAUGCUUCUACCCGACCGGAUUUCAUCCAAGUAGAUAUCCGAUACUUGACUCCUAAGCGGUAGGACAUCCUUCCAGUCACUGUUCUCAAAGGACAGGCCAGAUCACCGAAUACUGCCAUUGGUAGAUCCUGAAAAGGAUGAAGCGAUAGAGCCUUCUCGUAGAGCGAUAGAAGACAGAUAAGCCGAACCCUAUGCCAGCCGGGUCAUGCUGUUAUUGUUGAUGAUGCCGGUGAUCAUCUAGCCCUAGCCAUGGAUUGUGAUGUGCCGGAUCUAGAUGAGUGAGCCUUUACGUUCCGUCCCCAGUUGGUUCUUCCAAAAGGGAUGGAAGCCCGCGCUAUAACAUGAAAUCAUGAAAUAGAGAAGUAAGUCUAGUGGGCCCCGUUCAAAUCAAGUUCUGCUUACCGCUGAUUCCCCACGGGCUACUACUGAUUCUACAGCUCUAGGCCCAGGCCAAUCCAAUAAUACGAGUAGAGAGGUGGUAGGAUAUGAGUUCCAAUCUCACCCACAAGGGUAUGUGCUCCUUGGUUAUCGAACUAUUCCAAAUAAAUCUACAUAGGUAGAGAUACAGUGCCAAGUUCGUGGGAUUUGACUUCCUUGUCCAUGCCGUGCUUCCCUGACUCGAGAACGGAUUAUUCUUCUACCUCUCAGAGCGGAGCAGCUUUCUUCCUCGCAUCGCGAAACAAGACAGAUCUUCGUACAGUCCAAUCAAAAGUCUAUGCCGAAUCCUCAGAUAGGUAGAAGGAAUUCACCUCCCCUCAAUAAUCAAUAGCUCCACUCCAAAGUUAUUUUAUUCGUCACAUGGCGUAGUUCCUCAUUGGAUUCAGGAUUGCAUUGCAUUCAUCCUUAGCUUUGCUCAGCUCCAAAGUUAUUUUAUUCGUCACAUGGCGUAGUUCCUCAUUGGAUUAGAUACUGUUCCAACAGAAAUGAUACCCUUCCACUCACUUCAUUCUACUUCCAAUACGGGACAGGAUGCAUAUUCCAUAACGGAUUAGAAUCCUUUUGUUUCCAUGAAACCCCACCUACAAGGUUCGUUUUCCCACUUGUUGGGAUGGCCUUCCCGGGUUGCCAGAGCUAUUUAAUGAUUCCAGAAAGAAAAGAGUCACUGUGAGGAAUCCAAAAAUAUCUGGGUGCCUGUGCUAUUCAUGAUUUCGACUAGUUUAGUUCUCUUAAGGCCUAUGGCCCGCGACCUAGAAGGAAGUGUGCUGCGUUCCUUCAUCUCGUACAUGGAUGAAUACCAGAUUUUCCCUUACUAAUUCUGAUUAUGAAAGCAUCUCCUCUUCUCGAAGCAGAUAGAAGAACUAUUUAGGGUUGGCCCGGAACUUACUUCUAGUGAUCUCUAUGCCUUUACCCCAGACUAUCAAGUAGAGCUUAGAGCGCUUUUAUCCCUAAAGCAUUCGUGCUAGCAAUCAUGCCAGAACUCACUUCCAUGGACUGAGCUAUUUCAUGAAAAAAGAAAGAUAGGUGUCGACCCAACUCAAGAACAAGUAUUUCCAGCAAGUAGGAGUGACGGUAUCAAAUGAUAUCAAGUUGAGCAUAGCCGCUGGGCUAGCAUGAAAGAAUGAUGUGCUCCAGAAUCUCGUACUAGAGACGGUAAGGUAGCACGGAAUUCAUUGAAAGGUGUGCCAGAGAGAUAAACGGUGUGUUCAGUCUCCCGCGCAUGUUCGCGUUCUCCACAAAUCUGGCUUUCUAAGGGCUCACCUUGAGUGGUAGUUCCCGAUCUUAGUUCUCAUAGUGGACUCGCAAUGACAUAUGGAAAUGGAUCUUCUCUUCUCCCUGGCUAUCAACGGAAAAUCUCCUAUCAUCCAAAAACAAGGGGUUUCUUACUUCGGGUGGCCAGUCUGCUUUCAAGACAGUUUCCUCUGCAUAGGUUGAGGGGUUAGUCUUCUUGCUUGAAAGGCGGGGUAUCUAAUUUCGAAUAGAGUUUCCUUGCUUGCCGCCUAGCUGAUCUUGAAGAUUGUGGAAGACUCCUACUGCCAUCUAAUGGUUCUUACCAAAUCCCACUGUCCUUCUUUUGGGGUGCCGGGCUAUCUACUAUGGUAUGCAAGAAAUCAGCCAUCUCUUCUAUUGGAACCUUAUGGUGACUAUUUGCUCGCUCGGAAGUAGAUCUGGAUCUGGAUAUUUACUAUUAGUAUCUCUCUUUCUGGAGUGCCGUUCUAAGGUUUCUCUUGACUCAAGAAUAGUAGGUGCGGGUCUAGUAGACGUAGACAGACAGUGGCAUGAUUCAUAUUCCGGACUUUCAUAUUCCUCUACCUAAGAUAGAUCCGCGCUCGGUGCGCUAUCGCCUAUAUAAGUUAAGUUAAGUUAAGUUAAGUAUGGAAAUUGGGAACUCUUUAUAGGAGUGAGUUGCUCAUCGGAAACUCAAAGUCAGCAAGCAGUUCUUGGAUUGGCCCGAGAAAUCUCCAUUUGCUAGUGCUCGUCCCACCAUCAGCCUCAUAGCAUUGAAAGGACAGGAUGGCAUCGAUUCCAUUCAAAACUGGAAGUGAAACAAAGUCAAGUAGUCACAGACCCAUUUAUUCUUUUUUUGUCAUUGGAUUGGAUACGUUACAGGGUUCGUUCACGACCCACACUCGAGACUGUUCAUUUCAUUUCCAUAUUCAAUAGCAAGCACACUGUUAAGGCUCAUCUUUAUGCGGGUUCUAAGCUAAGCUGGCACAGAAAAAUUCUUGGAUUAUGGACACGCUACUGAUCCUCAUUGAUCGACUCGGGCCUGCCCCUAUAUAUGUAUUUAUUUGAUCAGGGCCUAUUCCCACUAUCACAACAAAAAUAGAAUUCCCCGGGUGUCUACGGAGCUCACUUCUGAGAUAGAGCUGGCUUCUCACUACCGGCACUCGCUAGAAGAGAACUCUCUCUUGACUGAUCCUGAUCCCAUUCAUCGCAACAAGACUGGUACCAAUAUGGACUUGCUUCCUACCAAUCCUUCCUAUAAUGAGUUCCCAUUAAAGUAAAGUAGAGUUCCCACCUCCGCCUAGUCCGUUUUCCCGUGAUUUUCGCUAUCAACCAGAUUUUCCCUCGUACGAGAGUCUGAAGAAAAGAAUCAAGUAUGGAAUCCCGGGAUUUUCGUCCUCAAGCCUUUUUUAUUAGCGAAAUGGGAUGAUUUCAUGCCAAAAAAAUGGACUUUCGCCGUAUAGCGAGAUAAAGAAUUUGAAUUGUCAAUCGACUCUCUAGAGGGAAAAAGCGAGAAUGAACAUUUGCCGUAUAGUGAGCAUCAAGUUUUUCAUUUGAAAUUGACUCGUACGAGGGAAAAAGCGAUAAUGGACGAUUUUCCCAUUGAGACUCAGUUUUUUCAAAAGAAAUCUGAUCCUCCGGCCAAGCCGAAGUUCCUGGAACAUAUGGAUCAAUCAAGUGGUAAGCCGCCCGGAAGAAACCUUUCCCUUGCCUCCCUUACCGAAAUCAAAUCAGGGCGACCAAUCAAGCUAGGAAGAAGGAUACCGACCUUCUCCAUUGAUCAUAUAGAAAUGAAUAACGAACUGGCUAGAUGAGAACCGGCUGAAAAGCAAAGAGACUAUUUCAACCAAGCAACCAUGGGAACACAGACCCGCACCCACGAUAAGAACUCUUUUCGGAGGAAGCUUCACCUUUAUAUGUAUGCCAUCCAUUUCUGAGUGAGGCAGGCUAUUAUCGUUCUCCGCAAGGAAUCAACCUUCGAGAAAAAAAGGGAGUCCAUCUUUAAAAUCUUAUGCUGCCCCAAAAUGAUGGAACCAGCCACUAAAGGCAAGCUACAUCUCUUCUAAAAGAGGAAUUAGGAACGGGAAGUAGGACUCAUUUCACAAUGCAAAACACAUAAAUGAGAGCACUUUGCUUAAAGCUGAACCUACGAAUCUGUACUUGCGCUUUUUCACUUGCUCCCCUCAGAAGAAGUUAGAGCUGACAUUUAUUCAGGAGGAAGUGUUGUUGGCCAUGUAGGUUAAGUCUUCCUUGCUUUCAGGGACUUCUUUUUGUUGUCAUCUACUUGGUUUCAGGGAUCUCUGUAUGUGUGCUGUGCAUAUACUUCCCUAUACCCUCACUUCAUCAGGAAAGCAGUCGAUUCUCAUCUCAGAAGAUCUUACUAAAACGCAUCGCUCAUCUACGUAAAUUCCAGUCAAGUCAGGGAAGUUGCUGAGUUGAUAGGUCAAAAGUACUACUUUUGCCACUAGGUGAGAUACACUUUUUUGUCAAUCGAGCCUGCCGCCCAAGCGAAAAUAGGGUUCCGUGGUUUUCCCACUAGGGGAGAUAGACUUUUUCUUCUCUUCUCCCUGUGGAAAAUAGGCUUGAGUCAUUUUCCAGCACAAACAUUUUUCAAAAAGAAAUCCACUUUCCCAAGCUAAAAUAGCAAGUACUACUUUGACAGCUAUAUGAGAUAGACUUUAUCUCAAUCCAUCCUCUCUUUUACGAGAAUGAAGAGGAACAGGAAUUUGGGAGUUAGUUGGUUUUCAAAAGAUAGGAGUCAUUAGAGUUGAUACCGCAUCCCUUAUUCUUAUUCGAAGGAAGCAAUCCCACUACAGGCUAGCAUUACCGAUACUUGUACCAAUACUUCUCUUAGCUUGUCAUUUCUCCUAUCUUUUGAAGAAGGAAAGGAAGAAGUAGUUUUAGUUAGAAAUUAGGAUUAGGAGAGUGCUGCGCUUGUGUUUUUGGAAGAAAAUGCAGCUCUAUCCUGGAUAGAUCCUUGAUUCACCGCCAGCGGAGGGCCAGAAAUAAAGAACUUUGUCUCAACGGAGAAUCUCUUCUGCUCAUCUCCGCGAAGAAUGAACCCGUUACCACUACAAAGUGAGAAAUAAACCGCCAAGGAUAUACCAUUUUUGGCUUCCAUAUCUGCACGGGGCAAGGGAAGAAAUAUAUCGUAGAAAACAUCCUCUCCUCAAGCUAGGAAGCAGGAUUGGAAAGCUAUGGUUAUAUGCUGCCCAGGUCUUGCGGUAUAGGACUUUACUACUCUACUCGGAUGCCAGAAUCAGAAGAUAUCAUAUUCUCCCAGUUGAGGUAAGAACCAAGGUCAUCUAGCCUCUCAUAUCUUAGCUUAGGUAUGGCUCGGUGCUGCUUACUCGAAAGGAAAAGAGAACUCGACUGUGUGUGCUACUACUAUCUCCAUAUCAGGGUCGGGGGUAUCCUUUAAGGAGUUGUGAGAUGAGAAUAUUUCCAGAUCUAGAUCUCUUUCUUUGUAAGUGGACACCAUUCCAGAUACGGCUAACUGCUUGUUUUUCUUUGCUUGGCUUGAAGGUUGUAUCUAUUUCCAUCCAUUGAUACGUUAAUAUUUCCAUCCUUUCCUUUAAGCUACUCUCUUUCCUCAAGGUUGGUCCAACUUACUGAUGUCGAAUUCAAAUAGUCAAAGCCUUAUCUUAUAGUUCUAACGUUGAAAGAGCUUAAGGAUGCAUUUCUUUUGAAGGAGGAAGGAAAAGGAGUUUCGAUGCAACUACUUAAUUCGUAACGUAUAUAAGUCGUGGGGACACCAAAAUACCUCUCUUCUCUGUCGUCGCAAUAGAGCAGUUACGAUACUGCUUCCAAGGAAUACUCUUUUCACCAAAAGCAAAAAUCCCUUUCGUGGCCGGAGGAAGAUAAACGGCGAUACAGUCUGAAAAGAUAGUUGGUCGUGUGCUAGUGGAAAACCUCUUUGAUAGAGCAGGGGAAGUCCCCAUUGGGCAUAGUAGCUCACGUUGUAUUGAGGCAGAUUCUCCAUCCAGGAAUUCCAGUCUUUGACUCGGGAAACGAAGAAGGCCGCCCUUAGACCGGAGUCCUUGGGCACCCUAUAUACCCACCCCCGAAUGGACAGGUAGCCAACCAACUUGGCGGGAGUCGGCGGCAGAAGUGCCUGCUUGGUACGGCUAAACACUUCUCUUUUCUUAUUUUUUAUCCACAAUUCCUGGCUCCCUUUCUUAAUUGGGUAGACUUGGGCCAUUGUGCAAUUACCAUCCUUUGUGCGACCAGGCCCCACGGGAAUCGCCUUGAAGAUGUCCACCCCUUUCUUAGAAAAAUGGAAAGAAAGGUGCUCAGCGACGACUGCCCCUUCUACCUUUACUUUUUUGCCACUCUGUCUCUUUGGAGCAUCCGUUUCCUCAUAUUAUCGAUUCAUAAAGGUCCAUGAAAGGAAAGAAGACCGCUUUCCCUUGCUUCGCACCUCGUCAUAGCCCUGAAAAGCUCACCCGGAGUUCUAGUUAGAGAAUGGGGUAUGAUUCACUACUUGCCUACUGCUACCUGGGUCGUGAGAUCGAAGAAGGUAUACUAUUAGACAAGGUUCAUUCCAGCUUUGCUGCUCUUUUUCUUUUGAUUCUUUCUGUUUCUGUUUACUUGAGCUAAUUCUUUACUUGCUUUCGAGCUAACUUGGCGGAAUGGAAUCACAGCAAGAGACAGGGCUAAUGGUUGGUUCUGUCUACUAUAUUUAGUAUGAUUUUUAUAUCUUCGACCUUAAGAGGCGGUUUACGAAAGAGAGAGAGCUCGUGGAAGACUUGAGAAAUGGAAAUAUCUUUCCAUUUCUUCCUAACAGGAUGCAAUGCAGGUACUGUUUAGUUUAGUAAAGAAGGAACAAUCCUCGUAUUGGAACCGGUCGAGGAAUAUCCCUCACCCUCGUAUUUGAAAAGAAGUGAAUCAAAUACAAUAGUAGGUAGGAAAGAAAAGCCAUCCUUUGAGUAGUAACUUUACCAACCAAGGUAGGGAUAGUCGAGAGCAGGAUGCCGGCCUUAUUCUGUUUAGAAGAAAUGAAAUUGAUUCACCGGCGGCAAUCGUUGAUUCCUGAUCUGGUGGUAGCUGCUUCAUACCGGUUCAUGCGAAACCUAGAUCUAAUCAGAGCCCUCCAUUUCUAAUCGGGCGGCUUAGUUUCGCCCGUACCCCUUCGCCGAGAACUAUUUGCAUAUAAGCCCCUUGUCUCUAUAGUAAUCAACCCGCAAUCCUCAACAUGUAGAAAAUAAUUAAACCAAGGUCCUAAAAUUUUCAGAGAAGACCUCGAGCUUUGUUAAAAUAUUGGCUGCAGUCCCUUUAACUUUCUAUACUGAUAGAAUUAAUAUUGAAAAUGAUUUUUAAGUAUUGAAAUAAUUCCAGGAUCUUGUUUAAUUCAUAGAAAAUUUAGUUUAACUCCUUUUUGAUCCGUUCCAGUUGCAUUAAAUUCAUAAUAAUAUUGUUUAUCAUCUAGUAACCUUGUUUUGUCAUGAAACAUAGAUUAGAAAUUAUACACUUAGUUUCUUUUAAUCCAACACUUAAACCUUUGAAAAUCCAUAACUUCUUCGUUUUAACUCCGAUUUGAUUCGUUCAAGUUGCGUUACUCCCGUAUAAAUAUUUACUAUGCAAUAAAAACAUUUAUUGUGCCAUGUCUCAUUCUUUUUAGAUCUUUAUUUUAACUUAUGUUGGUUAGUCUUGUUAAUAUGCUUAUGAUUAUAACCUACUACAAUAAGAUCUAUGGUCAAUUUGACUUAGAUUAAAAUUGAAAUAUAUAUUUAUACAAUAACAACUCAUGAUUUAUAUUAACCAAUAUAUGAUAUAGUUUAAUAUUCUAAUCACACAGAUCUUUUAUAAGAUCAUAACCCUUUAAUUAUAACUCUGAUUUUAGUAGCUCUCGUUCCCGCGAUCUCGUAGCAACGCAUAGAAUAUUUUUAUUCAGUUUGUCUUAUGUUUGGUGUGAUAUUAAUUUUGCCUAUACCAUGUCUGUUUGUAUUGCUACGACUAGCAGUGCGGUCAUGAGGAUCCGAAGAAUCACCCUGGUAACUGGAAUCUCAAGUGCCAGGCAAGUUGUGCCCUUGAUCCACUUUUAUUACCCAAUAAUGUUCUUUAAUAUCACUUAUUCAUGCAUAGAUUUAAUUUUGAUGGGACCCAAUUGGUCACCCUAGGCUGUUUAUCCAUUUUACCUUGUUAUCCCUGAAUCACUUGGGUAGUUUUGCUAUUGCUUUACAUGGUUUUUGGGAUAAUGUUUCAUUAUAUCCAUGUUCCAAUUAUUUUGUUAUUCUAUUUAUGUUCAUGUCAAGAUCAUUAAUGUUAAUUGGAACAUGGAGCUUAACUUGAGAAACAUGUGCCACCACAAGGGUGGAAUGGGACGCCCUUGCCUGACUAAUUAGGAAAGCUAGUGGAAGACUACCUUACCCGAAAGAGGCAAGGGCAGUAGGGGAGUUGCAUGCAAGGAGAUUCUCGGGUUGAUUUUGCUGCGAUGGCGGUCAGACAGGGGAUUCUUGCAAGUGCUCUUCCCAUAAACUGUAGUGGGUUUUCGGAAGCUAGUGGAACUUUGUAAAGGCCUCGUAGUGGAUCCCUAGCCAUUCACCUCAGUAGUGUCUAAGGGCAUUGCAAACCCUGGCGACAUGGGACACACGACUUGUGGGUACAUGGUACAACCUCUGCAGAGUGUAAAACUGGUAUACUAGCCGAGCUCACGGUCAUGAGCAGCUCAGGACUCUCGCAUGAUUAAAUUAUGGAACUUAAAUUCAAUUUGUCAUUUGCAUUUGCAUGGGAUUUAUUAUUAAUUUUGUUCUUUAUUAUUUAUUAUGGUUUGGUAUUUACUUACAUUUAGUAACUGCUAAUAAAAUUUGACCAACUUAUUAAAAGCAGUGCUCAGCCUUAACCCCUAUUAUUGAUCAGCCUUACACAUCACAUGAACUCCCACCUUUGGUGAGUUCAUGCCACAUUAUUCCCCACAACUUGUUGAGCGAUGAACAUAGGUGAGCUCACCCUUGCUGUCUCACACCACCACAGGAGAAGUACAGGUGGUUCAAGAGGAGCCACAUAACGAGGAGUUCGAUUCGGUCUAGGUGGUGUCUCCCAGUUGACUUUCUGGCGCCAAGGAUGGAUUUCAGAUCCUGUUAUAUUUAUCUUUUAUUUUUUAAGACUGCCGCUAUGUAAUAACUACUCUGAUUAUAUUGUGACAUUUAUCUCUACACACUCUGUUAUUAUAUAUGUUGUCUUCUUUGGCGCAUGUAUGAGAUGCACCUGGCUUUGUCCCUUAAAGCUCGGGUGUUACAUUCACUUUCUCUUACCUUUUUCAUUUUUCUAAAAUUUGGGCAGAAAUAACCUUUAAUGGACAUUCCUAGUUUAAUAUUGUAUACUGGGGUGCUUAGUAUUUUUAAACAGUGUAUAUGUCAGGUGAGCAUCUCUACAAAUUUUCUCCAUCCCAGUAUAGAAGUAUUCCUAUUUUUCUCUGUAUUAAUAAGGUUUGGAUAGUUUUCUAAUUUAAAUUUAGGCUCUAAAAAUUAGUACAGAAGAUAUGGGGUUCAAUAUUUUUGUCUGAUAGUUUAUAAUUAUUAGAAUCCAACAAAAUUGGUUUGACCAAAGUUUUAUGUAUAAAACUCAAGUUAUGCCUUUUUGAAGUUGACUGUUGUUAUUUAUUAAAAAUUUAAUUUAAAUUCGAAUGGAAAACUAGUUUGCGCUGAGACCCUGGUUUUCUUUACUUUUUCUAUUACAACUAGGUCCUCAGGGCACUAUUCAUUCGGGUGACUGACAAUGUGAAAACCCCCUUAGGGUCUAUCCUACUCUAACCUGUGGUCCUUCCCCUAAUGGAACAGUACCCACGGCGGAGAAAUGGGCGGCGGGGCUUAUCAACGGCGAGAUAGCUCCGGCAAGGUGGUCAAUGACGUAGGGAAGGUCACGGCGGUCACGUCGGUGUGCGGUUUAUCAUCGGGGUGGGUCGGAGUCGGUCGGGCCUCGUGCGCAGGCAGGGGAGCUCGUCGGUGGCGAGUGUUCCGGCCUAACUAGGGCGGUAGGGUCCAAUCAAACCAGUCAGCGAGCUUCACUAGGUGUCAGAGAAGGCGUGGGCACGAGUAAUUGAACUACGGCUUACCGGUUAGUCGUGGCCACACGCGCCGACGGGGAAACAACUCCGGUGAGGGUGGAACGGCUUCUCUGGUGAGGUAGCGCCUGGUUUCUUGCUUCGAGGAGCUCUACGGGGCUCUAGGGAAGCUAGCCGAGGCACGAGAUCGAGUGGAGAUGGAUGGGAGUGGUCUGGCCGCGGUGGCCGAGUGCUCGGGUGGCUCGGCAGGCGGCGUAGAGCUCGCUGGAGCUAAGUGCUGGGUCUGGGGAGUCAGGUGAGGUGUGGAGGGAGUAUGGCCGAGGCUGCAUUGCUCUUAUAGGUGCGGGCGUGGUGCAUGGGUGGGCGUGGAUUGGUGCGAGCACGUGGCAUGGUUUCUUCUACUCCUGUUCUAACGCCGAUAGGGCGCAUAUCUUCGCGAAUUUGGGCAAGAUCGCAGUGUAAGAAUUGUUCCCUGAUGCAAGCUUUGUCAUUUAUGUGUGGGAGCCAAGGGGUUUCCGGUAGUGUACAGUGAGUAGUCGUGUCAGCAAGUUUCCAGUGUCAAUCUGCUGCGUCCUGAGGCAAAACUAUGUCAGACCAUGUCAAACGGUUGAGAUUUGCCCCCAAACUUUUCCAGGACGUGCCUAAGGUAAUUUGGCCAAUUUGGUAUUUGGACUUUAUGGAUUUGAGUUUUGGAAAAUAGAGAACACGGCUGAACUUUGUGAAGGGGUCAAAAUUCAGAUGUUGUAUUUUCUGAAUUUCCCAUUAACUUUUCAAUUGAGGGGUUAUUUUGCAAAUUUUGCAAAACCCUCUCAAUAAAUAUUUCUUACUACAUUUUGUAGCUUAUUUAGUGUACUAUAACUUUGUUAUUUGGUCCUCAUCAUGAUUUUAUGUUUCUCAUAAUCUUUUUACAAUUUUUCCUUUUUGCACUUAAAUGGCUUACUUAGGGUCAAUUUUGGUUUUGGGCAUUUUUCUCACCUUGUGGUGCAUGAUAUGGUUAAUGUAUGAUCCUUAAGAUGAAAAGACUUACUCAAAUUUUUGUUUCUCAAGUGUUGGGGUCUUUUGCUCAAUUAUGUUCACAUGUGAUAAUGAUCAUUAGUUGGGUACUGAGAAGAAACCCUAGGUAACACUGGGGUGUUACAGGCCAGGCCUUGCCCUAUUCCUCGUUAUCGACGUUACUUAUUAUCUGCUACAACAUUAAGAACACUGUUAUCUUUUGUCAAACUCUGUUUUAUGUAAUAACUUAAGUACUUUAACUUGUGGUUUCUUGUUUAUUGCAUUCUCUCAGAGUCUCACCAUUGUGUGAGCUAAUGGUACUCGAUCCUUGAUGAUAUAGCUGAAGUGCCCGAUCUUUCGGUGAGUGGAGAUAAUUCCGAUUUGGCAGAAGAUGACCCUCGCGAUCCGACUAUGAUGAGCAAUCCCGAGGCGCCAAUGCAAUCGCUGAACCAACUCCCUGUGGUUACCGACCUUGCUGAUGCGAGAUCGGCCUGAUCACGAAGAUUGUUUCCUGUGCACAAUCGAAGAACGAACAAGAAAAAGAUGCGAGCAAUCUAAUUUAUUACUCGAGCGUGGAGUUCUAAAUACACGAAGACAACACUGAUUUGCACGUGUUCGAGAGUAGCUAAAGCUAACGUAAAACAAAACUCAAAGAACAAAGGAGACGCAGCUACUGGAUAAAUAUAGAGAGGGGGCGCAGCCCCUAGGGGUGGCCAACCCUAGGUAGUCCACUAUGGGCCGCAGUUGGGCUGGUCGUCUAUUCUUCUGGGCCCUCAUUCUUCAGUAGCAUGACGAAGUUAAGAUCUCUGGCACGGGCCCGAGUGAUUGGCCCAGCUAAUGAAGGAAGUGGCGCUUGAUGUGUAGGUGCUGCUGGUGUAGUCAUACUCAUAGUGAUGUCCUCAUCAUCCUCCCCUUCUUGAAGCAAAGUCGUCCUCGACGGCAACUCCUCAUCCUCGGCCAUAUAUGGUUUCAAAUCUGCAACAUUAAAACUAGUGGAAACACCAAAUUCCGCAGGCAAGUCAAGGAUAUAAGCAUUAUCAUUAAUCUUUGUUAGCACCUUAAAAGGACCAGCAGCACGAGGCAUUAAUUUAGAACGGCGCAAAGUAGGAAACUGAUCCUUUCUCAAGUGCAACCAAACCAUAUCACCUGGCUCAAAAGUAACAAGUUUUCUUCCUUUACUACCAGCAACCUGAUUUUUUGCAUAAGUAGCAGCAAUGUUCUGUUUCGUUUGUUCAUGUAUGGUAAUCAUUUGUUCAACAUGUGCAGCAGCAUCUACAUGUGGGGCGUUCAUAGCAUUAAGUGAAAUAAAAUCAAUAGGUGCCCUAGGGAUGUAACCAUAAACAAUCUAGAAAAGGCACAUCUUUGUAGAAGAAUGUGUGGCAUGAUUGCAAGCAAAUUCAACAUGAGGCAAACAAUCCUCCCAAUGUCUCAAAUUCUUGUCUAAAACAGCCCUAAGCAUGGUAGAUAAAGUUCUAUUUACUACCUCAGUUUGUCCAUUAGUCUGAGGAUGACAAGUAGUGCUAAACAACAAUUUAGUUCCCAUUUUAUUCCAAAGAGAUCUCCAAAAAUGGCUUAGAAACUUAGCAUCGCGAUCAGAGACUAUUGUUUUUGGAAUACCAUGUAAACGAAUAAUUUCUCUAAAGAACAAUUCAGCAACAAUGCUAGCAUCAUCAGUUUUAUGACAAGGUAUAAAGUGAGCCAUUUUAGAGAAUCUAUCAACAACCACAAAAAUACAAUCCCUCCCCUUCUUAGUUCUAGGCAAGCCCAAAAUAAAGUCCAUAGAAAUAUCAAGCCAAGGAGAAGAAGGGACAGGCAAAGGCAUAUACAAACCAUGGUUGCCCAAACGUGACUUAGCUUUCUGGCAAGUAGUGCAACAUGCAACAAGAUGCUCAACAUCACGGCGCAUCCGAGGCCAAAAGAAGUGUGCGGCCAGCACCUCAUGUGUCUUGUAAGCGCCAAAGUGCCACAUGAGACCGCCUCCAUGAGCUUUCUGCAGCAACAAAAGACAAACCGAGCUUGCUGGAAUACACAGCUUGUUAGCGCGGAACAAAAAUCCAUCCUGUAUGUGAAAUUUUCCCCAGGGUUUGCCAUCCUUACAAUGUAUAAAGAUAUCGUUAAAAUCAGCAUCAUCCACAAAUUGAUCUUUCACAGUUUGCAAGCCAAAGAUUCUAAAUUCUAACUGUGAAAGCAUGGUAUAUCUACGGGACAACGCAUCAGCAAUGAUGUUUUCCUUCUCGUUCUUGUGUUUAAUGAUGUAAGGAAAGGACUCGAUGAAUUCUACCCAACUAGCAUGACGAUGGUUCAGAUUUGUUUGGGUACGAAUAUGUUUUAAAGCCUCAUGGUCAGAAUGAAUUAUAAACUCACGAGGCCAAAGGUAGUGCUGCCAUGUUUGCAAAGUGCAAACUAAAGCAUAAAGUUCCUUAUCAUAAGUAGAAUAUCUCAAGCUAGCACCGCUUAAUUUUUCACUGAAAUAAGCAACCGGUUUUCCUUCUUGUAACAAAACAACACCUAACCCAAUACCACUAGCAUCACAUUCAAGUUCAAACACUUUCUGAAAGUCAGGCAAUUGUAAGAGUGGAGUAUGGGUUAACUUAUCUUUCAAAGUGUUGAACGCCUCUUCUUGAGGGGGGUCCCAAGCAAAAGACACACCUCUCUUUGUGAGUUCGUGCAAAGGGGCAGCAAUGGAGCUAAAAUCACGCACAAAACGGCGGUAAAAUUCUACAAGUCCAAGAAAACUCCGAAUUUGCGUGACCGUCGUUGGUGCCAGUCCUGAAUGGCUUCAACCUUGCUGCUAUCCACCUCAAUGCCCUGCGGAGUAACCACAUAACCAAGAAACGAGACACGUUGCGUGCAAAAUGUGCACUUUUCCAUGUUACCAAACAAGCGAGCAGCACACAAAGCAUCAAAAACAGCACACAAAUGUUCUAAAUGCUCCUCUAUAGACUUGCUGUAAAUAAGGAUAUCAUCGAAAUAAACAACAACAAACAAACCUAUGAAGGCCCGUAGAACUUCGUUCAUUAAAUGCAUAAAGGUGCUAGGAGCAUUAGUCAAUCCAAAUGGCAUAACCAACCAUUCAUAUAAACCAAAUUUCAUUUUAAAAGCCGUUUUCCAUUCAUCACUGAGUUUCAUUCUAAUCUAAUGGUAACCGGUACGCAAAUCAACCUUAGAGAAAAUAAUGGCACCACUAAGCUCAUCUAACAUAUCAUCAAGGCAUGGAAUAGGAUAUCGAUAACGAACUGUGAUGUUAUUAAUAGCACGACAAUCUACGCACAUACGCCAUGACCCAUCUUUAUUUGGAAUGAGUAAAACAGGAACCGAGCAAGGGCUAAGAGACUCACGAAUGUAACCUUCAUCAAGCAGCGUCUGCACCUGGCGUUGGAUCUCCUUUGUCUCAUCUGGAUUUGUACAGUACAGGGCGCAGUUCGGAAGAGAAGCGCCGGGGAUGAGAUCGAUCUGAUGCUCAAUGCCACGGAGCGGAGGAAGACCCGAUGGUAAGUCCGUAGGAAGAACAUUAGCAUACUCCUACAAAAGGUUAACAACAGCAGGGGGUAUAUCCAAAGAUAGGGCAUCAUCAAGCGGAACAAGCAUGCGCGAGCAUACAAGUGCAUAACAGGGCAUAUGAGCUUCAUGGAGAUCAUCAAAAUCACAUGUGUAGCAAGUAAAACAGGAGAGUGCAACUUGAUUUCAGAUUUAAUAGGUGCGGCUGAUGUCGAUUUGACUUGUUGUGCAGUUUUAGCAGCCCUAGUAAGAUCAUCUUUCAAAAUUUGGUCAGGGGUCAUUGGAUGUAUAAUUAUUUUCUAGCCUUUAAACAUGAAAGAAUAAUGAUUUGAAUGACCAUGAUGUAAACUAUCAGUAUCAUAUUGCCAAGGUCGACCCAAUAACAAAGAACAUGCUUCCAUAGGAAUAACAUCGCAAUCAGCAUAAUCAGAAUAAGAACCCAGCGAAAAGGGGACACGUACCGAACGUGUUACCUUUAUUUUACCACCAUCAUUAAGCCAUUGAAUGUGAUACAGAUGUGGGUGUGCGUGAGUGGGCAAGGAUAAUUUCUCUACCAAAGUUGUACUUGCCAAAUUGUUGCAGCUGCCUCUAUCAAUGAUGAUGCGAAUCGAUCGUUCAUGCACAACGCCUUUGGUAUGGAAUAGAGUGUGUCGCUGAUUUUUUCGGCCUGGGCAACCUGUGUGCUGAGAACACGCUACACAACAAGACUCUCAUACCUAUCGGCGUCGAUGGGAUCAACAUGGACUUCCUCAUUUUCUGCAUGGUUAGUGGCAAUCAUAGCAUGACUAGUUUCCUCGGAAUCACUUGCUGAAGAGUACUCACCAUUGUCAUGUAUAAGCAAGGUACGCUUGUUUGGGCAGUCCCGAAUCAUGUAGCCAAACCCUCUGCAACGAUGGCACUGAAUAUCCCGUGUACGUCCUGUGGAAGAAACGACGCCUUUGGCAGGGUGCGCUGCUGGUUUGGCCGUCCCUGUGCACGGUGUAGUGCUAGGCGUAGAAGGUGCAGGGCUAGAAGGAGUUGAGCUGUGUGUUGAACCCCGGCCUGCAAAAGAGUUAGUAUAUGUCUUUGAUCGUCGUCCCUGUACUUCACGUUCAGCUUUGCAAGCAUAUUCAAACAAUGUGGUUAUAUCAAAAUAAUCCUUAUAAUCAAGUAUAUCCUAAAUUUCCCUGUUCAAACCACCACGAAAAUGCGCCAUAGCAGCGUCAUCCGACUCAACCAAACCACAACGAAGCAUACCCAUUUGUAACUCCUGGUAAUAUUCCUCAACAGAUUGUGAACCUUGUUGAAAACGCUGCAUUUUGUUAAGCAAAUCACGGGCAUAAUAGGAAGGAACAAAUCUGUGGCGCAUGGUAGUUUUUAAUUGGGUCCAAGUAGUGACACUGUUAAUGGGAAGUUUUUGUUUAUACUCUCGCCACCAAAUUAAAGCAAAAUUAGUAAAUUCACUAAUGGCAGCCUUCACUUGGCUAUUAGCAGGAAUAUCAUGGCAUGAAAAUUUAUGUUCUACCUCCAAUUCCCAAUCAAGAUAUGCAGCAGAAUCAUAUUUACCAUUAAAAGAUGGAAUUUUAAAUUUAAUCUUAGCAAAUGAGUCAUUAGGGGGAUGACGAACUACAUGGCGUGCACGACCACGACGAUCUCCAUCGUCCUGCUCAGUGUCACCGCCGUAGUCCUGCUCCAUCUUUGUGGUCAACGCAUCAAGGCGCGCCAGGAUGGUGUCGAGUGUGGUGCGAGUCGUCGUUUGAGCAAGGUCAAGCUGGUUGAAACGCGCGGUCAUCGAAGUGACCGUUGAAUCAAGUCGUUCAUGCAUCGUCCUAAUGUCAGCAGCAAGUCCAUCAACUUGUUCCCUUACUUCGUGCAACUGGACAUCCACCGUGUCGUGUGCUCCUGCCAUAGUUAGCGCAAACACCAAAACACCAAAAGGAGAAAAACCAACGACAACAGGGGAAUGGUGGUGACAACUCGCUCAAUGGAAUGUUGUUAUCAAGUUCUUAUCUGUUCUUACCAAGCCACAGGGGUGAACUGCAACCAACAGGUGGAACCGGUGAAAGAUUGGAUGAGCGAUUGCCUAGAGAAACAAAAACCUGCUCGUGGUAGAAAUAUGUGGAGUUCUGGGUAGGCUGCACUCAAGUCAAGGAUUAGCACGAUCAAACAAUAAUGCAAAGUUGAAUUAUAGUGCAAAACACGAAACUAUAUUACUGGCCACAAGUGCAAAGGACGGAUGGGAAAAAACUGCGACAACACAGAAUUACCAAUGAAGGCAAGCAAGAGUGUGUAGAAAACUUCCCGGCGCCGGUACCUGUAUAGAACUUUUCGAGAGCUUUCCGGGAAAAAAAGAGCACUGAAAUCGGAGUUCUGAGCAAAAAGUUAUGGCCGUUUUACUACAGGACGUCCGAAUCAGCGGGAAAUUUCGAACGAAAACGACCGAGAUGAGACAACCGCUUUGUAUCCUUUCCCCUUUCUUUUUUGUUUGUUCUCUGGUUCUAUCCUUUCUCUUUCUUUUUCUUUCUAUUUCUUUUUUUUCUUUUCUUGUUUUUUGUUUCUGUUUUUUCUACGUAACAGAAGGAGAAAAAGAAGGAAGCGGUGUUGACUCGAUUUGUAGCGUGAUCAAUCCGGAGAUGGUGGCGGCGCGCUAGGGUUUGAAUGGUGGAAGAAAGAAGGAUGGUGAAAAAAACACAAUGCAACCAGCAACAAAUGACACGAAAGCACACAAAUUCAACAAUGCAGAUUAUUGAAAGAAAGUGCGAGGCUCAACAGGGUGCUGAGAUAAGGUCUAACCUGAAUUUUGAUGUGGUUUUGUGGACUGUAGGAGAAAAAAACACUCGAUAAACUCACCGAUCAACUUGGAAAUCUGAUACCACUAGAUAUAGCUGAAGUGCCCGAUCUUUCGGUGAGUGGAGAUAAUUCCGAUUUGGCGAAAGAUGACCCUCGCGAUCCGACUACGACGAGCAAGCCCGAGGCGCCAAUGCAAUCGCUGAACCAACUCAGUGUGGUUACCGACCUUGCUGAUGCGAGAUCGGCCUGAUCACGAAGAUCGUUUCCUGUGCGCAAUCGAAGAACGAACAAGAAAAAGAUGCGAGCAAUCUAAUUUAUUACUCGAGGGAGGAGUUCUGAGUACAUGAAGAAAGCGCUGAUAUGCGCGUGUUUGAGAGUAACUAAAGCUAACGUAAAACAAAACUCAAAGAACAAAGGAGAUGCAACUCCUGGAUAAAUAGAGAGAGGGGGCGCAGCCCCUAGGAGCGGCCAACCCUAGGUCAUCCACUAUGGGCCGCAGUUGGGCUGGUCGUCUAUUCUUCUAGGCCCUCAUUCUUCAGUAGCAUGACGAAGUUAAGAUCUCUGGCUCGGGCCCGAGUGAUUGGCCCAGCUAAUGAAGGAAGUGGCACUUGAUGUGUAGGUGCUGCUGGUGUAGUCGUACUCAUAGUGAUGUCCUCAUCACUUGAUAAGUGGUUCUACCGGACUAGAUUCGAAGAACUGACGGGUUAUUCUGAUUUAAGUGUAUUGCUGUCUUCAAGGCAUGACUCGGGCACUUAAGCUGGAAUAAUCUGGGUGGUUCUACCACAAUACUCUUCGGCGGGGUCGACAAAGAUAUUUUGGGAUGCAUUCACGACCACGCCGGGGCUAAAAUCAUAAGUACUUUAUCUAAGAGUGUUGGAUUUUCGAAGCUAGAAAAGGACAUUAGUUGUGAUAGGCGACAUCACAUUAUUAGUAGCUCGUUCUACUCAAAUUUCAAAGUAAGACUUCUCUACAGCUCCCUAUUGGUACCUUUGUGGUGAUUUGGGUAUUCUAACUUCGAUUUGUUUUUCAGAGUCUGCUACUGAGCAAGGCCUUGAAGAUGCAGCAGGAUGUCGAAGACAGAAAAAACGAUAUCAUUAUCAAAGGCUUUGAAGAUAAAAUAAAAAAACUUGAAGAUUCCUUGAAUGAAAAAGACAGCCUGCUGCGCUCAGCCGAAGACUCACUCGCCGAAGCGCGUUCUCAGAAUGAAAAAUUGAGAAGAGAGCAGGAUAAAGCUCAAACAACUUUGGAAAAGAAGUCAGAUCGCUUCGACCGCGAGUCCAAAGCGUUGAAUGCAAGCGUUGAAGCAGAAAUUGAAAAGAACGUUAAACUGAGCGAGACAAUCACAAAUCUUUGCGGUAGAUGCUUCGGCAUUUCUACUCAAUGCAUUGCUCGGUUGAUGUCACACCCGGGCUUUAAGGGACAAAGCUGGGUGCAUCUCAUACAUGUGCCAAAGAAGACAACAUAUAUAAUAACAGAGUGUAUAGAGACAAAUGUCAUGAAUAUUAUAAAUGUACUUAUUACAUAGCGGAAGUCUUACAAAAUAUAAGAUAAAUAUAACAGGAUCUAAAAUCUAUCCUUGGCGCCAGAAAGCUGAAUGGGAGACGCCACCUAGAUCAAAUCAAAUGCCUCAGAGUUAGGCGGCUCCUCUUCGACCACAUGUCCUUCUCCUAUGGGGGGGUGUGUGAGACAGCAAGAGUGAGCUCACAUACGAUCAUAGCUCAACAAGUCGUGGGGAAUAAUGUGCAUGAACUCACCAAAGGUGGAAGUUCAUGUGAAGUGUAAGGCUGAUCAACAAAAUAGAGGCUGAAGCUGAGCAUUGCUUUUAUAAGUUGGUCAAAAUUUUAUUAGCAGUUACUAAGUGUAAGUAAAUACCACACCUUAAUAAUAAUAAAGAAAAGUAAUAAUAAAAUAACUCCAAAUGCGAUGCAAAUGUCAAAUUAAAUUUAAGUUCCAUAAAUUAAUCAUGUGAGGGUCCGAGCUGCUCAUGACCGUGAGCACGGCUAGUAUACCAGUUUUACACUAUACAGAGGUUGCGCAUCUUUACCCACAAGUCAUGUUACCCAUCUGCCAAGAGAUGGCCAAUCCCAUACACCUCUACCGAGGAGGCGAGGUAGGGUAACACUACGAGGCCUUUACAAAGUUCCACUAGCUUCAAAAAUCCCGCUACAGUUUAUAGGAAGCUUCAGUGCAGGAAUCCCUCGCCUGACCGCUAUCUUAGCAAAAUCAACCCAAGGACCUCCCUACACUGACCACUCCCCUACUGCCCUUGCCCCUUUCGGGUAAGGAAGACAUCCACUAGCUUUCCUAGUUAAUCAGCCAAGGGCGUCCCAUUAAACCCUUGUGGUAGCACUGUUUUCCCGGGUGGUCGCUCCAUGUUCCCAUUAACAUAAUGAUCUUAUCAUGAACAGUAAUAAUAAAAAGAUAAUAAAAGUGUAGUAAUGAAUAGUGUAUCUCCAAACCCAAAACCACAAUAAGCGAUAGCAAGUACUACCCAAAAAUAUUUCAGUGGUAAACAAGGUAUAAAGAUAACCAAAACUGGGGUAACCUAUUGGAUCCCAUCAAAAUUAACCUAUGCAGAUCAUUAUAAUUAAUAAGAACAUGGCUGGGAAAAAGUAAGUGAAUAAGGGCACAACUUGCCUUCAAUGAGCUCCUGCUCAGCUACUUCUACUUACUGAACCUCAGAAUCCACAGUGGCUUGCUCGUCUACUCGCAUCAACACAAUACAUACAUAGUAUAGCAAAAAUAAACAUCACACCAAACAAGUAAAUAAAAUACACAAUAAAAAUCUACAUAUUAAAAUAAGAACCUAGAAACAAGAUUCAUUAAUUUUGGAAUUAUAGAUUUUGAAUUAUGAAUUUCCAAAGGUUUAAUAUGCUUGAAAUGGAAUUACAUGAGAAAUAAAUUUUCUUUCUGAUUUCAUGUCAAAACAGAGACUCUAGGUGAUAGAUAUUAAUAUUACAAAAUUUUAGAAAUUGGAAUAGAUCGAUUUGGAUUAAAAAUGAAUUUUCUAUGCAUUUUACAAGUUUCUAGAUUUGUUUUUGUAUUAAAAACGAAUUUCUAUAAUUAUUUCUCUGUUUUUAAUCAUCUCUGGACUGGGCCUCGAUUCCUAGAAAACUCAGGGGUCACGGGGCAAGAUGUCCAAGACUCAGGGCGCCACAGUCGUGGACGGCGGGUUAUUAACCUAAAUCCAGAGGGGUGUAAAUGGUAAUUUUCUCGGCCGAAGGGGUAUGGCGCGCUCCUGACCGCCCGAUCUUGGAUGGGCGGCGCAGAUUAAAUCAACCACCGAUCGAAACGGUACCCAAUCCGAGCCGCACGAUAAAACUUCAACGUCUCAGAUUUAAAUAACCCAUAUUGAUUUUCUACCGACCGAUCGAGAUCGGACGGCGCACGUUCCUCACCCGAAGCGGUACGCAUCAGGCUCAAUCGUGACCGCAGGUGCACGAUCCGACGGCGAGCCCGUAACUCUCCCCUCCCCUCGGUCAGUGCGGCGGCGCCGCCCGGAACGGCGGUGGUUCAUGGCCGGCGUUCGCCCGAAUCCAGUGCUAGGGCCACUAAUUCCCCAAUUAUGUCGACCUACGUAAUGCCACAAGUGCGACAAAGAGGGUGAACGACAUACCAGUGCAAGAGACGGUCUGAGGGAAACUACCCACGGCGAGAGGCGGAUUCGCGGCGGCCCUCCUGCUCCGGUAAGAGAUUCCCAAGUUCCCCGAGGUCCUCCGCCCUAAUUGAGGGCCCCCGCAGCUUCACGGAUCCCCGGCGAACGCCCUCGCCCACACGCGUAGACCCGUGCUCGUGUACAGAGGAGAAUCACCGGCGGCGGCGCACACACCUCCCCUGAGCUCCCCUCACGACGACGAACAGCGAUUCGAUGGCGUAGUUGGCUCGGUCCAAAGGUGUGGGGGAGCAAUACGGGUCCUGGGCAAUGGCUUUAUACUACCUGGAAUCCACCUGGGUGCCCGCAACAGCCUAGCUCCGAAAUCCCCGUGCGGUUCGUUGGAGCUCCGCAGAGCCAGCGCGCGUGGGGAGGAAGGUUAGUGCUGACACGAUGGGCCCACGCAACAGAGACCGCUCGGCGCUUGUGGAAAACCCUGGGUCGCUGACGACCGGGACCCGCCAGUCAGCGGCGAGGAUGAUUUGCGCGAGGGGAGGAGGAUCUCGGCCACGCGGGGAGAAAGAGGAGGUGGGCCAAAAUGGAUACAGUCGGCCCAGGUAAGUUCCCUUCUCUUUUUCUUUUUAUUUUAUGUUUUAUUUUUCUGUUUUCUUUUAUAAUUAUUUUGAAUUUGAAUAUGAGUUUCACCCUUGAGUAAAUUUACACAUUCAAGUCCAAUUGUAGAGAUAUUAUAUUUUAUUAUAUAUAUGUAUUUUAUACUCUUUUUCACUCAUAUAAUAUUUUUCUUCUUCUCUUCUUUUCUAAAUUCUCGAAUUCCUUUUAGAAUUUAAAUUCUACUUUAAGCUUUAAUAUAUUUCUUGUCAUUUUAUGUUGUCACAAGAUGCACAAAAUAAAAUCCCAACAUGAUGCAUGUAUUAUUUUUAGGUGUCUUUUGUCAUUUAGUUAUUUGUUAUAUGUGAUGUGCUCAUGAAAUGAUAAACAUAGAUGACACAUAUAUGUAUAAAAGAAUAUAAAUUUUUUUAUACUCUUAUUACAAAGUGGAUAAUACAAAUCCUACCCCCCUUAAAAAUAAUCUCGUCCUCGAGAUUUAGGAAGAUUUAGGGAAAAGAUGAGGAUAAUCUAUACGAAGCUCUUCUUCUCUUUCCUAGGUUGCUUCAUCUUCUUCGUGGUGACUCCAUUGCACUUUGCACAUCUUUAUAACCUUAUUCCUCGUGACACGAGUCAGGGUAUCAAGAAUCUUGAUGGGGUACUCAGCAUAAGUCAGGUCAUCUUGAACACUAAGGUCCUCCAUUGGUAGCUGCUCUUUAGGUACCCUGAGACAUUUCUUCAGCUGAGAUACAUGAAAGACAUCAUGAACAUCCGCGAGAUGAUCCGGUAACUCCAAUUGAUAUGCCACCUCUCCCACUCGCUUUAAAAUCAAGAAGGGUCCAAUAAAGCGAGGGGACAACUUCCCUUUGACUUUAAAUCUUCUCAUAUCCCGGAGUGGUGACACCUUCAAAUAGACAUAAUCACCCUCCUUAAACUCUAGCAGUCUUCUCUGGGUAUCAGCAUAGCUUUUCUGUCUUGACUGCGCAGUUCUCAAAUUCUCCCUUAUUUGAUGGACUUGUUCUUCUUUUUCUUGUAUAAUCUCAGGCCCAAACAACUGCAUUUCACCAGUUUGAUCCCAAUACAGUGGAGUCCUGCACUUUCUGCUAUACAAAGCCUCAAACGGUGACAUCUUCAAACUGGCCAGAUAGCUAUUAUUAUAUGAGAACUCCGCACAAGCUCUGAACAUAUCUUCCAGCACUUGGUUGGUCCUCUCAGUCUGCCCAUCAGUCUGAGGAUGGUAAGUCGAACUAAAAUUCAAUCUUGUAUCCAAGGACUCGUGCAACUUCUUCCAAUACCGAGAGGUAAACUGUGAUCCCCGGUCUGACAUAAUCUUCUUUGGCACACCAUGUAAGUAGACAAUCCGUGCCAUGUACAACUCUGCCAACUUGGCACCUGAAUAUGUGGUCUUCACUGGAAUAAAGUGGGCUACUUUAGUUAGCCUGUUCACAAUCACCCAUAUAGAAUCAUAUCCAGCAGAUGUGCGGGGCAAUCUAGUUAUGAAAUCCAUACCAAUCUCUUCCCACUUCCACUCAGGUAUCUUCAGUUGAUGCAGUAGUCCAGCCGGCCUCUGGUGUUCAGCCUUAACUCUUUGACACACAUCGCACAUAGCCACAUGUGCAGUCACAUCUCUCUUCAAUCCAUACCACCAAUAUUUUUGCUUCAAAUCCUGAUACAUCUUGGUACUCCCAGGACGAAUAGAAUAAUUUGAGUCAUUGGCUUUGUCGGGGACCAUAAUUAGGGGUACCCCCAAGACUCCUAAUCUCAGCUGGUAACCCCCAUCAGCACAAAGCUGCGAAGGCCUGAUGGGUGCGAUUAAGUCAAGGCUCAGUCCGCUCAAGGGACACGACCUCGCCUCGCCCGAGCCCAGCCUCGGGCAAGGGCAGCCGACCCCGGAGGAUUCACGUCUCGCCCGAGGGCCCCCUCAAGCAAUGGACACACCUUCGGCUCGCCCGAGGCCCAGUCUUCGUCGAGAAGCAACCUUGGCUGGAUCGCCACACCGACCGACCGUAUCGCAGGAGCAUUUAAUGCAAGGACGGCCUGACACCUUAUCCUGACGCGCGCCCUCCAGUCGACAGAGCCAAAGUGACCGCAGUCACUUCGCCGCUCCACUGACCGGCCUGACGAGAAGACAGCGUCGCCUGUGCCGCUCCGACUGCUGUGCCACUCGACCGAGAGAGGCUGACAGCAGCCAAGUCUGGCCUCGGGCGCCAUAGGAAGCUCCGCCUCGCCCGACCCCAGGGCUCGGACUCGGCUUCGGCCCCGGAAGACGACGAACUCCGCCUUGCCCGACCCCAGGGCUCGGACUCGGCCUCGGCCCCGGAAGACGACGAACUCCGCCUCGCCCGACACCAGGGCUCGGACUCAGCCUUGGCACCGGAAGACGACGAACUCCGCCUCGCCCGACCCCAGGGCUCGGACUUAGCCUUGGCCUCAGACGAUGGUCUCCGCCUCGCCAGACCCAGGGCUCGGACCCGACCUCGACCUCGGAAGACAGACUCGACCUCGACCUCGGAGGAGCCUCCGCCUCGCCCGACCCAGGGCUCGGACCGACCACGUCACAGGGGGGGUCAUCAUUAUCCUACCCCUAGCUAGCUCAGGCUACGGGGAACAAGACAGGCGUCCCAUCUGGCUCGCCCCAGUAAACAAAUAAUGAUGGCGCCCCGCGUGCUCCAUGACGACGGCGGCUCUCAGCCCCUUACGGAAGCAAGGAGACAGCAAGAACUCGACAGCCCCAACAACUGUCCUUCUGCAUGGCUCCAGCGCUCCUCCGACGGCCACGACAUCACAUGAACAGGGUGCCAAAACCUCUCCGACUGCCACGACGACAUGUACUUAGGGCACUAGCUCCUCUCUGCUAGACACGUUAGCACACUGCUACAUCUCCUAUUGUACACCUGGGCCCUCUACUUACGCCUAUAAAAGGAAGGCCCAGGGCACUCGUACGAGAGGGUGGGCCGCGCGGGAGGACGGGACGGCGCGUGCAGGCCUCUCGCCCCCUCCCACGCGGACUCUUGUAACCCCCUACUGCAAGCGCACCCUACCUAGGCGCAGGACAAACACGAAGGCCGCGGGUUUCCCCCUUACGCAUGUCUCCUUUUCCCCCCUUCAUGCUCCGUCUCGCGUAGACCCAUCUGGGCUAGGACACGCGGCGACAAUUUACUCGUCGGUCCAGGGACCCCCCGGGGUCGAAAUGCCGAUAGUUGGUGCGCCAGGUAGGGGCCUGCUGCGUGUUGACGAACAGCUUCCCAUCAAGCUCCAGAUGGGUAGUCUCCAGCAACCUUUCCAGCCCGGGACGGUGCUCCGUUUCGGGAGUCUUGAGUUCAUGUCCCUCGAUGACAACUACGACAUGAUACUCCUUCCCCCGCCGCGCGACAGCGACAAUGGCGGCCGACACCCCGCCCGCCGGCGGUGGAAUCGACGACGUCUUCCCCAUGUGGCAGAAGAACAACAUUCGGGUUUGUCCCGUCGCCUCCCCCACCGGCGGAGGAGGAGGCGGGGCAACCAAGGCCAAGCAGGAGGCGGCACCUCAUCGGCUGUCGAGCGAGUGGACGGCGCCGGCGCCCCAACGGGGGACACGUCGGGCAUCGACCUCGGUCUGAGACGAAGACGAGCGCCAUUUCCCCUCAACACGCCAAUUCCAAGCGGACGGACGACGCCAGUACGCUCGCAAGGGACUUGUCGGGCGUCACCCUCGUACCUGAGACAACGGUGCAGUCUGCCCCUGACGCGACUUCGUCACCGCCCGUCGACCAGGAGGUACCGACCGAUUCCCAUCUCGUGCCUUUUGGAUUCAGCCUCGACCCACCAAGCGACUUCGCUUCGGUGGAAGCCUUCAUAGAGGCAUGUCCAAACCCUCCGAGGUACGGUAUGCGGUCACCCUGGGACCGGCUGAUAGUCGUCUCGACCUACGGGCCCUCGGGUUCCGAGGAAGAUGACGAGCCCGACUUUUGUUGCGAUUUCUCCAGACUCGGUAACCCUAGUGCCAUGCGGGACUUCACGACCGCAUGCGACUACUGCCUUUCCGACUAUUUCGACGGUAGCCGCGACUUCGGCGACGAAGACUGCGGCCCAAGUCGUGAAUGUUUCCACGUCGAUCUAGGGGGUCCCGGCGAAGGCAACCAUCUUGGUAUACCAGAAAACGGUGAUCCCCCUAGGCCUGCGCCUCGCGUUGACAUCCUUCGGGAGCUAGCUGUGGUCCUAGUCCCUGCAGGGGGUCAGGACGCACAGCUCGAGCAAAUCCGCGAGAUGCAGGCCAGGCUCGACGAGGGAGCAGGAACACUUGAGCCGUUCCGCCGGGACAUCGGGCAGGAAUGGGCAGGCCAAGCUCCAGCCGGAGAAGCGCGUCAUCUACCCUAGGGCAUCCAGCACUGCAUCGCCGACGAUGUCAGGGCAAGGCCGCCACCGGCUUCCAGUGGGGUCGGCCAGAACCUGGCUGCAGCGGCAAUACUUCUCCGCUCGAUGCCGGAGCCAUCCACCACUGAGGGGCGACGUAUCCAGGGAGAGCUCAAGAAUCUCCUGGAGGAUGCCGCGGUCCGACGGGCCGAAAGCUCUACCUCCCGAAGGCAGGGAUACCCCUCGGAGCAUCGCGCCGCGACUUCCUGAUUCAUGCGGGAAGCCUCGGUCCACACCGGGCGCACGCGCAACACAUCGCCUGCGGCCCCGGGUCGCCUCGGCAACGAGCACCACCACCGCAACCGUCGAACCCACCUCGACGAGAGGGUGCGCCGAGGCUACCACCCCAGGCGUGGGGGACGCUACGACAGCGGGGAGGAUCGGAGUCCCUCGCCUGAACCACCCGGUCCGCAGGCUUUCAGCCGGGCCAUACGACGGGCGUCGUUCCCGACCCGGUUCCGAACCCCGAGUACUAUCACAAAGUACUCGGGGGAGACGAGGCCGGAACUGUGGCUCACGGAUACUGGCUGGCCUGCCAACUGGGUGGAACGGAUGAUGACAACCUCAUCAUCCGCAACCUCCCCCUGUUCCUCUCGGACACCGCUCGAGCCUAGUUGGAGCACCUGCCUCCGGGGCAGAUCUCCAACUGGGACGACCUGGUCCAAGCCUUCGCCGGCAACUUCCAGGGCACGUACGUGUGCCCUGGAAACUCCUGGGAUCUCCGAAGCUGCCGCCAGCAGCCGGCGGAGUCUCUCCAGGACUACAUCCGGCGAUUCUCUAAGCAGCGCACCGAGCUACCCAACGUCACCGACUCGGAUGUCAUCGGCGCGUUCCUCGCCGGCACCACCUGCCGCGACCUGGUGAGCAAGCUGGGUCGCAAGACCCCCACCAGGGCGAGCGAGCUGAUGGACAUCGCCAAGAAGUUCGCCUCUGGCCAGGAGGCGGUUGAGGCCAUCUUCCGGAAGGACAAGCAACCCUAGGGCCGCCAGCCGGAAGAUGUCCCCGAGGCAUCCAUUCAGUGCGGCACCAAGAAAAAAAGGCAAGAAGAAGUCGCAAGCGAAACGCGACGUCGCCGACGCGGACCUUGUCGCCGCCGCUGAGUACAAGAACCCUCGGAAACCUCCCGGAGGCGCCAAUAUCUUCGACAAGAUGCUCAAGGAGCCAUGCCCCUAUCAUCAGGGGCCCGUCAAGCACACCCUUGACGAGUGCGCCAUGCUUCGGCGCCACUUUCACAAGGCCGGGCCACCUGCAGAAGGUGGCAGGGCUCACAACAACGAUAAGAAGGAGGAUCACAAGGCAGGGGAGUUCCCCAAGGUCCACGACUGCUUCAUGAUCUAUGGUGGGCAAGUGGCGAAUGCCUCGGCUCGGCACCGCAAGCAAGAGCGUCGGGAGGUCUGCUCGGUAAAGGUGGCAGCGCCUGUCUACCUAGACUGGUCCGACAAGCCCAUCACCUUCGACCAGGGCGACCACCCCGACCGCGUGCCGAGCCCGGGUUAAUAUCCGCUCGUUGUCGACCCCGUCAUCGGCAACGUCAGGCUCACCAAGGCCCUCAUGGACGGAGGCAGCAGCCUCAACAUCAUCUACGCCGAGACCCUCGAGCUCCUGCGGAUCGAUCUGUCCUCGGUCCGGGCGGGCGCGGCGCCUUUUCACGGGAUCAUCUCCGGGAAACGCGUCCAGCCCCUCGGACAACUCGAUCUACCCGUCUGCUUCGGGACUCCCUCCAACUUCCGAAGGGAAACCCUCAUGUUCGAGGUGGUCGGGUUCCGAGGAACCUACCACGCAGUGCUGGGGCGGCCAUGCUACGCCAAGUUCAUGGCCGUCCCCAACUACACCUACCUCAAGCUCAAGAUGCUGGGCCCCAACGGGGUCAUCACUGUCGGCCCCACGUACCGGCACGCGUACGAAUGCGACAUGGAGUGCGUGGAGUACGCCGAGGCCCUCGCCGAAUCCGAGGCCCUCAUCGCCGACCUCGAGAGCCUCUCCAAGGAGGCGCCGGACGUGAAGCGCCAUGCCGGCAAUUUCGAGCCAGCAGAGACGGUCAAAUCCGUCCCUCUCGACCCCAGCAACGACGCCUCCAAGCAGAUCCAGAUCGGCUCCGAGCUCGACCCCAAAUAGGAAGCGGUGCUCGUCGACUUUCUCCGCGCAAAUGCCGAAGUCUUUGCGUGGAGUCCCUCGGACAAGCCUGGCAUACUGAGGGAGGUCGCCGAGCACUCACUGGAUAUCCAAGCUGGAGCUCGACCCGUGAAGCAGCCUCUGCGUCGAUUCGACGAAGAAAAGCGCAGAGCCAUAGGCGAGGAGAUCCACAAGCUAAUGGCAGCAAGGUUCACAAUUUUAUAAGUCAGCUUGCUGUUUUGAGUAUUUGGUGAUAUCAUUUGUGUAACGGCUCGCGCCUCUAUUACGGUUUGGACUAGGACCAGCACAACACCAUUGUGGAACGUUUAUUCAACUUGUUGUGGCUAACGUGGUACUAGCUAUUCCUUGGAACUAUUGUUUUAGCAGCCACCUAUAAAUCCACAAUUUUUUCUACAACACCACCAGGUUGUGCUAGCAGCCACUGUUGAUGUUCUUGCUGUUUGCCAGCGCCACUUGCUUUGCAUGGUGAGAACUUGUAAGAGCUUGAUUUCUUGCUAGUGAGGCAGUGUUUAUCCAUCCACAUCAUAGCAACUACUAGGCUGCAUUACUUGUUUUUGUAUCUCUUUUGCACUAACCAUGGUAGAGGAUGCAAAUGUGCGACCUCCACAUUCUCCAAGAACAAUGGGCAUCAUUCAACAUUUCGAACGUCAAGUAAGGUUGCACACAGAUGCCCUCAAUGAAGAUGUUGAAGUCACCAAUGAGCGCAUUGGUCAAUUAGAAACAGCACAAAUUGUUACCAACAACACAUUGACCACUUCGGAACGAACAGUUGCUACUACUAACACCUCUCUUGCAGCAAUUAUUGAGCGCUUAGAUAGGACGGACCAAGUUGGGCAUGAAGGUAGGCAACAAGGUGAUGAUGAUGGCCAUGGUUCCAUUGCUGGUACCGCAAGAGAUGAUGCUACGGAGUAUUCAGCAGACACCGAGCGUGAUGACCGAUCCAUUAGGCACCGACGACACCAACGACGUGAUCGCCAUGGCUUGGGUGGUCGACCUCCACGACGUGAGGUACGUGAAAAUGAUGAUUCUCUAGGAAGAAUUAAAUUCUCCAAACCACCGUUUGAUGGAAAAUAUGAUCCUGAUGCAUAUCUAAAAUGGGAAUUGUCGGUAGAUCAAAAAUUUGCAUGCUAUGAUUUUUCUGAUGAUAAAAAGGUUAGAGCUGCUACGAGUGAAUUCACUGAUUUUGCUUCUAUUUGGUGGCAUGAGUACCAAACUACACAUCCAGCUACCAUACCACAAACUUGGAAUGCUUUAAAAAGAAUCAUGCGUAGUCGUUUUGUUCCUUCCUAUCAUGCUUGUGAUUUAUUACAUAAAUUACAACAGCUUAGACAAGGCAACAAAUCUGUUGAAGAAUAUUAUCAACAAUUACAAAUAGGCAUGUUGAGGUGUGGUCUCGUAGAAAAUGAAGACACUGCAAUGGCUAGGUUCAUGGGUGGUUUGACAAGAGAAAUUCAGGAUAUAUUAGCUUACAAGGAAUACACUAAUGUUACUCGCUUAUUUCAUCUUUCUUGUAAGGCUGAAAGAGAAGUCCAGGGACGAUGCUUGAGAACUAACACUUAUGCAGGUCGCAAUACAUCUUGGCAGCCCCGCACUAGUGCAGCUGGCUCUAACCAUGUGUUUCAGGGAGAUGCUUCCAAUAGAUCAUCUACAACACCAUCGAAAUCAGCACCUUCUCGUGCUAUUGAGACAGGGCAAGGAUCCUCCCAAGCUAUAACCAAAUCAUCUUCUAUUGCUUCCACGGGAAGAACAAAGGACAUCCAAUGCCUCCAAUGCAAAGGAUUUGGGCACAUCCGAAGGGAUUGCCCAAGCAAGCGUGUGCUAAUUAUAAGAGAAAAUGGUGAGUACUCAUCAGCCAGCGAUUUAGAUAAUGAUACAUAUGCCAUGCUUGCUGGCCAAGAUGCUGAAAAGGAGAAUGAUGAUGAAGAGCAUAUUGGGGCUGAACAUGCUGAACACUAUGAGAGCCUCGUUGUAAGACGUGUCUUGAGUGCCCAAAUUAUUAAAGCUGAACAAAACCAGCGACACAAUUUGUUCCAAACUAAAUGUGUAGUUUUGGAACGAUCUUGUCGUAUCAUAAUUGAUGGAGGAAGCUGCAACAACUUAGCAAGCACCACCAUGGUAGAGAAGCUUGGGCUGAAAACGCUUCCACAUCCACACCCCUACUACAUCCAAUGGUUCAACGACAGUGGUAAGCUUAAGGUAACACAUAUGGUCCAUGUGGAAUUUACAAUUGGUUCAUACCAUGAUUAUAUUGAUUGUGAUGUGGUACCUAUGCAAGCUUGCUCUAUUUUAUUUGGUAGACCAUGGCAAUUUGAUAAGGACACCGUGCAUCAUGGUAAAACAAAUCACUACUCUUUUAUGCAUAAUGAGAAGAAGCUUGUAUUGCACCCCAUGUCCCCCGAUGCUAUUUUGAAGGAUGAAGUUGCUAGAGCUUGCAAAGAGAAAAAUAAAUCUGUUCAUAAUAAAAAUCUAGGUGCUGCAAAGGAGUUGGUACAACAUAAGAGUGACAAUUCUAAAUCUGCUCAAGUGAGGAAGACAUAAAUACAACUGAAAAGUGCUUGUUUUCUUGCUUCCAAAUCUGAUUUGCUUGAAUUAAAUGAUGUUGCUUCAAUCUGCUAUGUAUUUAUUUGCAAGGAUGCUUUAUUCUCACUUCACAACAUACCAUCUACUUUGCCUUCUACUGUCACUAAUCUUUUGCAGGAAUAUGCUGAUGUAUUUCCAAACGAUGUGCCACCUGGCCUGCCACCGAUAAGAGGAAUUGAGCAUCAGAUUGACCUCAUCCCAGGGGCUUCCUUGCCAAACCGAGCGCCAUACAGGACGAACCCGGAAGAAACCAAGGAGAUUCAGCGACAAGUACAAGAAUUACUCGAUAAAGGUUAUGUGCGUGAGUCCCUUAGUCCUUGCUCUGUCCCUGUUUUAUUAGUCCCAAAGAAAGAUGGCUCAUGGCACAUGUGUGUAGAUUGUCGAGCAAUUAAUAGCAUUACCAUCAGAUAUCGUCAUCCUAUCCUUAGGUUAGAUGAUAGGCUGGAUGAACUUAGUGGCUCGAUGAUUUUAUCUAAAAUUGACUUACGUAGUGGAUAUCACCAAAUUCGCAUGAAGCUAGGGGAUGAAUGGAAAACGGCAUUUAAAACCAAGUUUGGUUUGUAUGAGUGGUUAGUCAUGCCUUUCGGUCUCACUAAUGCACCUAGUACUUUCAUGAGAUUAAUGAAUGAGGUUUUACGUGCUUUCAUUGGAAGAUUUGUGGUCGUCUACUUCGAUGACAUCUUGAUCUAUAGCAAAUGUCUAGUAGAUCAUCUUGAUCAUCUAUGUGCUGUUUUCAAUGCUUUACGUGAAGCACGCUUAUUUGGUAACCUUGACAAGUGCACAUUUUGCACAGACCGUGUCUCUUUUCUUGGCUAUGUUGUGACACCGCAGGGAAUUGAAGUUGAUCAGGCUAAGGUGGAGGCCAUACAUAGCUGGCCAGUCCCUACCACGGUCACACAAGUCCGAAGCUUUCUCGGGCUUGCGGGGUUCUAUCGUCGAUUUGUGAAAGAUUUCAGCACCAUCGCAGGGCCAUUGCACGAGCUUACUAAGAAGGGUGCUCCAUUUUCUUGGGGCAAGGCGCAAGAGGUUGCAUUUGAAACAUUGAAGGAUAGGUUAACUCAUACACCCCUUCUCCAAUUACCUGGUUUCAGUAAGUCUUUUGAAUUGGAAUGUGAUGCUAGUGGUAUUGGUUUGAGUGGUGUCUUGUUGCAAGAAGGGAAGCAUGUUGCUUAUUUUAGUGAGAAACUGAAAGGACCCAGUCUGAACUAUUCCACUUAUGAUAAAGAAUUAUAUGCCUUAGUUCGAACUUUGGAAACAUGGCAACACUACUUAUGGCCUAAAGAAUUUGUUAUACAUUCUGAUCAUGAAUCUUUAAAGCAUCUAAGGAGCCAAACAAAUCUGAACCGUAGGCAUGCCAAGUGGGUCGAAUUUAUUGAAUCUUUUCCCUAUGUCAUCAAACAUAAGAAAGGAAAAUAUAAUGUCAUUGCAGAUGCCUUGUCUUGCCGUUAUACCAUGAUGUCUCAACUUGAUUUUAAGAUUUUUGGCUUGGAAACAAUUAAACAACAAUAUGUUUUCGAUGCUGAUUUCAAAGAUGUGCUAUUACAUUGUAAAGAAGGAAGGACAUGGAACAAAUUUGUUCUCACUGAUGGCUUUGUGUUUCGGGCUAACAAAUUAUGCAUUCCAGCUGGUUCUGUGCGUAUAUUAUUAUUACAGGAAGCACAUGGCGGUGGGUUGAUGGGACACUUUGGUGUGAAGAAGACAGAAGACAUCCUGGCCAGCCAUUUCUUUUGGCCGAAGAUGAGAAGAGACGUGGAGCGAUUUGUUGCUCGCUGCACUACAUGUCAAAAAGCUAAGUCUCGCCUUAAUUCACAUGGUUUAUACAUGCCUCUCCCAGUUCCUUGUGCACCAUGGGAGGAUAUUUCUAUGGACUUUGUUUUAGGGCUACCUAGAACAAAGAAGGGGAGGGAUAGUAUUUUUGUUGUUCUAGACAGAUUUUCAAAAAUGGCACACUUUAUACCAUGUCACAAAACUGAUGACGCUACCCAUGUUGCUGAUUUGUUCUUUCGUGAAGUUGUUCGUUUGCAUGGGGUUCCAAACACUAUUGUGUCCGAUCAGGAUACCAAAUUUCUUAGUCAUUUUUGGAAAACGUUAUGGGCUAAGUUGGGAACUAAAUUGCUCUUUUCUACUACUUGUCACCCUCAAACCGAUGGACAAACCGAAGUCGUAAACCGUAGUUUAUCUACCAUGCUUAGGGCUGUUCUGAAACAUAACAUCAAAUUGUGGGAAGAAUGUUUGCCUCACAUUGAAUUUGCUUAUAAUCGUUCUCAGCAUUCUACAACUAAACUAUGCCCUUUUAAAAUUGUGUAUGGUUUUGUCCCUCGUGCUCCUAUUGAUCUUAUUGCCAUCCCACAUUCUGAAAUAAUGAAUUUUGAUGCUUCUCGUCGUGCUGAACUGAUUAUAAAGCUGCAUGAACAAACUAAAUCAAAUAUUAAAGCCAUGAAUGCUAAGUAUGAAGAAGCAGGUAGCAAGGGUAGAAAGCAUAUUACCUUUGAACCUGGUGAUUUAGUAUGGGUGCAUUUAAGGAAAGAUAGAUUCCCUGAUAUGCACAAAUCUAAAUUACAACCAAGAGCUGCUGGACCCUUCAAAGUGCUUCACAAAAUUAAUGAUAAUGCAUAUAAAGUUCAGUUGCCUGCAGAUUUUGGGGUCAGUUCCUCUUUUAACAUUGCAGAUUUAACACCAUACUUGGGAGAGAAUGACACGUUUGAGUCGAGGACGACUUUGUUGCAAGAAGGGGAGGAUGAUGAGGACAUCACUAUCAUUGAUACAACCAUACCAGUGACCACUUCACCAUUCGUAACUAAUCAAGGACCAAUGACACGAGCCCGUGCACGUAAACUUAAUUAUCAGGUGAACUCGUUCCUUGCUAUUGAAGCUAAUUCUUCUUUAAAUGAGGUACUAAAGCCUUGCGAUGACUUUAUUAUGCUCAGGUGUUUGGGAGGUGAACCAUCUUGGACUAGAGAAGGCAACAAGGCAAUAAAGGCUGCUGCACCCGAGAGGAUUUCGUAACAGCAUCAAGUACAAGUUUAAAUGGGGCAUAUCUUCCAACUUCCAAGGCCGUUUAAUGCAAAUAAAUACUUGUUGGAAAGCUCCCUUCGUCUACUUGCUGGUGGAUCAAGAAUUAAUGGGAGACUACACCCGAGGCGUCCAGGAACUGCCGAGGGAACUUCAUGACUCCACCAGAAUUCCUUCUUCCUAUUUCUCUAUUUAAGCAACUAGCAGCCACCAAAAAACUUGGGUUUUGUUUGAUGUAAGUUUAGCCUUUGCUACUUCCUUGUAAACGCGUGUGUCGGCUAGACCACCCGAAUACUUGAAACGGGACCCCAACUUUAUCAGAUCCGUGCGUGUUUGCUUGUUAUCUUGUUCUUGCUUGUUCUCGAUUGCUUGCAAGUUCAAGGCUGUUCUUGGCACGGCAAGAGCAGCAACAACAGGAGCCGUUGUAACUAUCGCUAAGGCGCAGCACCCUUGUGGUUGUUGUAGUCGGAUAGCACAACGUCGACCUCCACCCCAAAUCGUAGUUAUCAGGAGACGGUGUACCUGUCGCUCAAGGCACCACACCAUCUUGGUUGUGGUAGUCGGGCAGCCAACGUCGUUCUCCAACAAGUUUUCCACCUCCAUCAUCUCUCAUCGAAAGAUCGGGCACCCUUCUACUCGUUGGGUUCAUCAGCGGGUUAUUAACCUAAAUCCAGAGGGGUGUAAAUGGUAAUUUUCCCGGCCAAAGGGGUAUGGCACCGCCCGAUCUUGGAUGGGCGGCGCAGAUUAAAUCAACCACCGAUCGAAACGGUACCCAAUCCGAGCCGCACAAUAAAACUUCAACGUCUUAGAUUUAAAUAACCCAUAUUGAUUUGAUAUCGACCGAUCGAGAUCGGACGGCGCACGAUCCUCACCCGAAGCGGUACGCAUCAGGCUCAAUCACGACCUCAGGUGCACGAUCCGACGAUGAGCCCGUAACUCUCCCCUCCCCUCGGUCAGUGCGGCGGCGCCGCCCAGAACGGCGGUGGUUCAUGGACGGCAUUCGCCCAAAUCCAGUGCUAGGGCCACUAAUUCCCCAAUUAUGCCGACCUACGCAAUGCCACAAGUGCGACAAAGAGGGUGAACGACAUACCAGUGCAAGAGACAAUCUUAGGGAAACUACCCACGGCGAGAGGCAGAUUCGCGGCGGCCCUCCUGCUCCGGUAAGAGAUUCCCAAGUUCCUCGAGGUCCACCGCCCAAAUUGAGGGCCCCCGCAGCUUCACGGAUCCCUGGCGAACGCCCUCGCCCACACGCGUAGACCCGUGCUCGUGUACAGAGGAGAAUCACCGGCAGCGGCGCACACACCUCCCUUGAGCUCCCCUCACGACGACGAACAGCGAUUCGGUGGCGUAGUUGGCUCGGUCCAAAGGUGUGGGGGAGGAAUACGGGUCUUGGGCAACAGCUUUAUACUCCCUGGAGUCCACCCGGGUGCCCGCAACAGCCCAGCUCUGAAUUCCCAGUGCUGUUCGUUGGAGCUCCGCAGACCGGCGCGCGUGGGGAGGACGGUUAGUGCUGACAUGAUGGGCCCACGCAACAGAGACCGCUCGACGCUGGUGGAAAAACCUGGGUGGCUGGCGAUCGGGACCCGCUAGUCAGCGGCGCAGAUGAUUUGCGCGAGGGGAGGAGGAUUUGGGCCACGCGGGGAGAAAGAGGAGGUGGGCCAGAAUGGAUACAAUCGGCCUAGGUAAGUUCCCUUCUCUUUUUCUUUUUAUUUUAUGUUUUAUUUUUUCUGUUUUCUUUUAUAAUUAUUUUGAAUUUGAAUAUGAGUUUCACCCUUGAGUAAAUUUACACAUUCAAGUCCAAUUAUAGAGAUAUUAUAUUUUAUUAUAUAUAUGUAUUUUAUACUCUUUUUCACUCAUAUAAUAUUUUUCUUCUUCUCUUCUUUUCUAAAUUCUUGAAUUCAUUUUAGAAUUUAAAUUCUACUUUAACCUUUAAUAUAUUUGUUGUCAUUUUAUGUUGUCACAAGAUGCACAAAAUAAAAUCCCAACAUGAUGCAUGUAUUAUUUUUAGGUGUCUUUUGUCAUUUAGUUAUUUGUUAUAUGUGAUGUGCUCAUGAAAUGAUAAACGUAGAUGACACAUAUAUGUGUAAAAGAUUAUAAAUUUUUUAUACUCUUAUUACAAAGUGGAUAAUACAGUUGAAGGGGAUAUUCAAUUCUGUCGGAGAGCUGCAUCUGAAGAAGUUACCCCUUCUACCGAAGAUAUUCCUGGAGCUCUUGAACAUAUUGAAAAAGAAGUUGACAUCCUCGACGAAGUCAUAACUGGGCACGGUGAUUUCUAUGCGUUGGUGGCUUCUCAUGGAACGACUGCGGCUUUCAUGAAGGCCGGAUGCAAUCAUGUGAGAGCCGUCAACAGGCCAAACUUUGGCCUAUCGCCAUCUGACCUAAUUGAUAUUCCAGCCAAAGCCCGGAGCAUAGGCAACAUAUUUAUUACCCAAAUCUGGGCGAAGGGCGGCCGAGAGCUAGCUGGGGAUGAAGCUUGAAACCUGCUCAACAAGGUAUAGAAAAUUUCUUUGUCGUUAGGCUUUUUUUCCUUACCAUGUUCCUCAUUACCCUUGCCUUUGUCAUUCUUCAGGGUCAUGGUGCCGAAAGCUAAUGAGCCAAAGCUAGUUCUGAAGCACUGAAGAAGACCUUAUAACCUCCUUUCACUAACAUCUGUAGAAACACUUUUGGAAACUCUUUGUACAAGAGAGUGUAUUAUUUGACAAAGAAUUGUAAUUGAAAGUGUACACAUUAUUGUAAAUGUUUCUAAAUGCUUCGUAAUGCUACUUCACCUUUCAUUCGUAUGUCAUCUGCUUUGUUGUGGAUGAAACCAAUGCUUGUAGCUUUUUAGGCCGAAGGCGAAAAACACCUUCCCUUCUUUUCGUUCACAUCAAAGCAUCUUUCGUAUACAACGAAGUUUCCUUUGAGACGAAGCAUCUUCGUAUACAAUGAAGUUUCAUUUGAGACAAAGCAUCUUCGUAUACAACGAAGAGUUUUCUCAUUGAAGGCAGGAAUCCCCGCUUUUCCUGUUAAUGCUUCAUGUUUUAUGUGAUGAUGAUGAACCUAUGAAUGCCUAAUGUAUGGUUGUAUGAAUGCAAAAGAUGAUGUGAUGAAGUGUGCAAAUGUAUGCCGAAGAUAAAAACCUCACAUGAAUACACACCCAGACUCUGCAUCCCCUUAGGAACGACUUUGGAGUCUUUUCACCUUUUUCUUAGGUGGUAUUUCAGCUCUGCAUUCUCUUAGGAACGACUUUGGAGUUAAGCUCUGCAUCCCCUUAGGAACGACUUUGGAGCUUCUUCACCUUUGACAUAGGUGGCAUUUAAGCUCUUCAUCCCCUUAGGAACGACUUUGGAGCUUCUUCACCUUUUACUUAGGUGGCAUCUUAGCUCUGCAUCCCCUUAGGGAUGACUUUGGAGCUUCUUCAUACUUUUUUUCCACUCAAUGGUGUAAUCCCAGAUUUUACAUUUUACAUGUGGGGGAAUUUGGCCCUUGUAUUGCACAAGGCUGCGCAAGAAAAAAAAUUGAAAAUUACAACCUAUGGCCCCAUUAAAAACCUUUCGCCCCUCCUGAAAGGAAAAAUUGUGCCAUAGGAAAAUGUAAGAAAAUUACAUAAUUUACACAUAAUAUCUCCGAAGCUCAUCUGCAUUCCAAGACCUUGGAAUGUCAUUGUCGUCCAUGUCUUUCAACUUGUAUGAUCCAGGUCUUGACGAAGAUACCACCAAGAAAGGACCUUCCCACUUAAGCUGAAGCUUCCCCACUGUAUCUAGGUUGGCCACUAUUCGAAGCACCAAGUGUCCUGGCUUGAUAUUCUUUAAUCUUACCUUCCAAUCCUGCCAUUUGACUAUUUCAGCUUGAUAUUUGUUGAUGUGCUCUAUGCCUGAAGUCUGGUCCCUUCUAUGGUGUCUUUUAUUAUUUUGCAAUCCUCUUCAUCUUCUGCUGAAGCUAAAGUCCUUAUUGAACUCAUUCUUGCUUCUUCUGGUGUUAUUACUUCGUCACCAAAUAGAAGCUUAAACGAGGUAAAUCCUGUUGACCUUGAGACAACAGUAUUGUGAUUCCAUAUCACUUUUAUCAACUCAUCUGGCCACUUUCCUCUAGGCUGAUUGAAGAUUGACUUCAUUAUCCCUGUUAUUAUGAUUCCAUUGGCUCGUUCUACGAGUCCAUUUGAUUCCGGAUGUCUCACUGAUGCAAAGUGUAUUUUUGUACCAAUCUGGUCACAAAAAGCUUUGAACAUUUUGGCAUCAAAUGGAGUUCUGUUAUCAACCGUGAUAGCCAUCGGCACACCGAAGCGACAAACAAUAUUCUGCCAAAAGAACUUCUGGAUUGUGGCUGAAGUUAUUGUAGCUAGGGGUUUAGCUUCGAUCCACUUUGAGAAGUACUCCACUGCUACCACAACAUAUUUCAAGUUUCCUUGCGCUGGUGUAAGUGGGCCUAGAAAAUCUAGGCCCCACCUUUGCAGUGGCCAAGUGGACUGAAUUGGUUGAGUUAGAGACGAAGGUUGUUUCUAGUCUCUAACACACUUAUGGUAGUUUUCACAUUUUUGAACCAAAUCUGCUGCAUCCGAAGCUGCCUUCGGCCAAUAAAAUCCUUGUCUAAAAACCUUUCCCAGUAAAGGCCUAGACAUAAUAUGAGCUCCACACAGUCCUGCAUGUAUCUCCUUCAUCAGCUCUUGACCUUCGGUUCUAGACAAACAUUUUAGUAAUGGAGAACAGACUCCUUGUUUGUACAACUCUCCCUCUAAGAUUACAUAGGGUUUUGUUCUUGCUUCCAUUCUUUUGUUGUAAGCUUCAUCAUUCGAAAGACAAUUGCCUUGCCAGAACGAUACAAUCUCAGUCCUCCAAUCUUCAUUGUGCACCGGCGAGAUUGUAAGCACUGCUCUCUCCAUGAGCUCGACUAAAGGUGCUUUUAUUGUUUCAAAAAAUACUUCCAAAGGUAAUGGAAGCCCCUGUGCCGCUGACAUAGCUAAUAAAUUUGCAUGUUCAUUUUCUCCUAUUAGGCUAUUCUUUAUAGAGAAACCUUCGAAAGAGACUUCCAUCCUUCAGACUGUGUCCAGAUACUUCUCGAGCUUUGGGUCUCUUGCUUUACUACUUUUGUCAACGUGACCCGAAAUGACUUGUGAGUCAAAUUUGAGGAUUGCCCUUCUUAUUCCUAUUGCCUUAAGUUUCCGAAGCCCCAAGAGAAGGGCUUCGUACUUUGCAAUGUUAUUUGUGCAGUUGAAGUCCAACCUUGCUGCAUAGCAGGUUUUGAUUUUAGACGGUGAAAUUAGGACGGCAGCUGCUCCUGCGCCGAAGGUUCCCCAUGACUCAUCACAAAACACUGUCCAAGCUUCGUCAUAUUUUGUUCUUUCUUCGUCCUGAGCCCCUGGCAUCCAAUCAGCAAUAAAGUCUGCUAACGCUUGGGAUUGGAUCAAAGAUCUAUGAACAUAUUCAAUAGUGAAUUCAUUCAGCUCUGUAGCCCACUUUCCAACACUUUCUGUGGCUUCUCUGUUUCUCAUUAUAUCCUUGAGAGGUUGUGAAGAAGGUACUAUGAUAUGAUACGUAUGGAAGUAAUGUCGAAGCUUUCUGGAAGCCAUCAGUACAGCAUAUAGUACCUUCUCCAACUCUGUGUAAAUUUUCUUUAAUGGGCUAAGUACUUCGGAGAUGAAGUACACUGGAACUUGCUUCUUUGCUUGGCCAUCCUGCUUUUCUUGCACCAGCGCUGUACUAACCGCAGUGUGGGAAGCAGCUACAUACAACAGCAAUGGAGUUCCUGACGAAGGUGGGGUUAAGGUUGUUAAUUCUAUCAAAUACUGCUUCAGUUCUUCGAAGGCUUUUUGCUGAGUUGGUCCCCAUUGGAAGACGUCGGCUGACUUUAGUACUUCGAAGAAUGGCAAGUUCCUCUCUACUGAUCUUGAAAUAAAUCUAUUCAAUGAUGACAGCCUUCCUAUCAACCUCUAGGCACCUUUUCGUGACUUUGGUGGCUCCAUCUGAAGUGUGGCUUCUAUGUUGCUUGGAUUGGCUUCGAUGUCCUUUGUUGAUACCAAACAACCAAGAAAUUUUCCCUUCUUCACAUUGAAGACACAUUUUUCUGGAUUCAACUUGAGGCCAACCCUUCUGAAAUUAGCAAAUGUUUCUUGCAAAUCAGCAAUAUGAUUUUCUUGCUUUGUGCUUUUUACUAUGAUAUCAUCAACAUAUGUCAGCACAUUCUUGCCGAUUUGAGAGUGGAGGACUUUGGCAGACAUCCUGCUAAAGCUUCCUCCAGCAUUCUUGAGCCCCUUGGGCAUCUGAAGGUAGCAGUAAGUCCCACUGGGGUUAUGAAGCUUGUCUUGGGCUCGUCUUCUUUCUUCAUCCAAAUUUGAUGGUAGCCUGAAUAAGAAUCCAAUAGGCUCAUUAGCUCCGAAGUAGCUGCUGCAUCCACCGGAGAGUCUAUUCUAGGUAGAGGAAACUCAUCCUUUAGACACGCCUUAUUAAGAUCUGUGAAAUCAAUGCACAUUCUCCAAUUUCCAUUAGCCUUCUUCACCAUUACAGUAUUGGCCAGCCACUCUAGAUAUGUUACCUCUCUGAUUACUCCGGCACUCAGAAGCCUUUUGACUUCGUUUCGUGCACCUUCGCCUUUAUCAUCGGACAUCUUCCGAAGCUUCUACUUUCUUGGCUUGAUAGCUGGAUCUACAUUAAGUGAAUGUUUGAUGACGUCUCUGUUGACACCACAGAGAUAAUUGGCUGACCAGGCAAAGACAUCCUUGUUGUUGAACAGAAACCUCAACAGGGUUUUUUCUUGUUCAUCAGACAGUUGUGAUCCUAGCAACACCUUCUGCUCGGCUAUGUCCUUGCAUAGAAACAUGGGCUUCGGUUGGUCUACUGAGGCAGCCUUAUCUCUUUUGUGUUUGUACUGCUGAUGAGCUUCGGCUUCAUCUAUGUUAUGGAUAGCCUUUGAAUCUGUCUAGUUCCCUGCAGCCCUUAUAGUAGCCUCUUGACUGUCAUGCACAGCUAUGGGGCCUUGGUAUGAUGGUAUCUUCAUGCAUAGAUAUGCUGGAUGAAGUAUUGCUUCAAAGGAAUUCAAUGUUCCUUGCCCAAUGAUUGCAUUGUAAGGAUACUCCAUAUCAACAAUAUCAAAGACCACUUGCUUUGUCCUUGUAUUGUAAACAUAGUCGAAGGUAAUCAACAUAGUUAUCUUGCCAAGUGCCACUAUCUACCUUCCUCCGAAGCCAUAGAGGGGGUGUGUUGCAUCAUGUAUUUUGUCAUCCUGCUCCUGCAUUUGCCUGAAAGCUUUUGCAAAGAUGAUAUCUGCUGCACUUCCUAUGUCUACAAGGACGUUGUGAACCAGAAACCCCUUGAUGACACAAGAUAUAACCAUUGCAUCAUUGUGAGGAUAAUCCUUGAGAUGAAGGUCUUUGUGGGAGAAGGUGAUUGGUAUAUGAGACCACUUGGACUUGAUGAAGGAUCCUUGCACUCCAACAUGAUGUACCCUUCUCUGUGCUUCCUUUUUCUGCUUCUGAUUGGCUAGUUCAGAACUUGAGCCGCCUAUGAUUAGGAACACCAGGUUCGUAGCCAAAGGUGCCACUGCUUGGUAGCCUUGCGAAGCCAUUGUUCGCAGUCGUGGAAGUGAGUUCAACGGAGAUGGGCGCCAAUGUUGGUCACUUGUUCUCAAAUACUGUGAAUCAAGAACAAGGCAACACAAUUGUUAAUUAUAACAUACCUUAGUCUUCCCAAGCAUUAUCUCCACAUGGGUAUAAUGCUCAUCAGACGAAGGUCAAGAAGGACAUACCUUCAUCAUUUAAUAUAUGAAUAGGAAUGCAAAAGGAUGUAAACAAUAAUUGCAUCUCGUUAAUUUAUUCAUAUUUGCAUUCCAUAAAAUAUAUAUGAAUAUUAAUGAAAUUCAUAUUACAUUGAUACCUUCGGCUUGCUCGAAGGUGAAGACGUGAGAGAGUGAUUACAAUUCAGCGUGAACAGUACGGUGCUACUGUUAAUCUAUUUAUAGGCACGUGAUGCAACCCGAUUGAAAUUACAUUCAUGACCCUCAACAUUUAUCUACAGACAACCUAGAUUACUAAGGUUUAUUCUUUUCUUCUUCUACUUGAGUUGAACCGAAGACGAUGAUAGCUUCGGCAUUUGGCAAUGUUGCCUCUACGCAAGUUCUUCGUCUUAAGAACCUUCGACAGAAAAAUGGAAGACUUCUGUAUCAUUUUGCCAAAGGUGUUUUUGUCUUGAGGACCUUUGGCAGAGAAGAAGACCCCCAACAGGUACUAUAUGCUGUACUGAUGGCCUGCUGAAAGCUUCAGCAUUAUUUCCAGUCAUACCAUAUCAUAGUACCUUCUUCUCAGCCUCUCAAGGAUAUAAUAAAGAAUAGAGAAGCCACAGGAAGAGUUGGGAAAUGGGCCGCAGAGCUGAAUGAAUUCACCAUAGAUUAUGUUCAUAGGUCUUCAAUCCAAUCUCAGGCAUUAACAGACUUCAUUGCUGAUUGGACGCCAGGGGCUCAGGACAAAGAAAGAACAAAAUAUGACGAAGCUUGGACAGUGUUUUGUGAUGGGUCAUGGGGAACCUUCGGCGUAGGAGCAGAUGCCAUUCUAAUUUCACCAUCUAAGAUCAGAACCUGCUACGCAGCAGGACUGGAGUUCAAUUGCACAAAUAAGAUUGCAGAGUACAAAGCCCUUCUUUUGGGGCGUCGAAAACUUAAGACAAUGGGAAUAAGAAGGGCAAUCCUCAAAUCUAAUUCACAAGUUAUUAUAGGCCACAUCAACAAAAGCAGCAAAGCAAGAGAUCCAGAGCUUGAGAAAUAUCUCGAUACGGUCCAAAGAAUGGAAGCCUCUUUCGAAGGCUUCUCUGUAAAGAAUAUCCCAAGAGGAGAAAAUGAACGUGCAGACCUAUUAGCCAAGUAAGUGGCACAGGGGCUCUCAUUACCUUCGGAAGUAUUUUUUGAAAAAAAAUAAAAGCACCUUCAAUCGAGCUCAUGGAGCGAGCAGUGGUUACAAUCUCACCAGUGCACAGCGAAGAUUGGAGGACUAAGAUUGUAUCCUUCCCGCAAGGCAAUUAUCUUUUGGAUGACGAAGCUUAUAUCAAAAGAAUGGAAGCUAGGACAAGGCCCUACAUAAUCAUAGAAGGGGAAUUGUAUAAACAAGGAGUUUGCUCUCUGUUGGUCACUUGUUCUCAAAUGCUAUGAAUCAAGAAAAAGGCAACACUAUAGUUAAUUAUUAUGGACCUUCGUCUUUCGAAGCAUCAUCUCCACAUGGGCAUAAUGCUCAUCAGACAAAGGUUAAGAAGGUCAUACCUUUAUCAUUUAAUAUGAGAAUUGGAAUGCGAAGGUUAAGACAGUAACUGCAUCUCAUUAAUUCGUUUAUAUUUGCAUUCUAUAAAACAUAUAUGAAUAUUAACAGUAUUAAUAUUACAUUGAUACCUUCGGCUUGCUUGAAGGAGAAGACGCGAGAGAGUGAUUACAAAUCAGCGUGAACAAUAUGGUGCUACUAUUCAUCAAUUUAUAGGCACGGGACAUAGCCCGAGUAAAAAGUAAAUUUAUGCCCCUGACAUUCAUCUAUAAUCAUAAGACGAAUCAUUAAGGACUGAGUAGUCUUUGUCCCUUUUCGGUCAUCAUCAUACUCGGUCUUCGUCAUUACAUCAAGCCAAAGCUCUUCGGCUAUAGCUUCAUCGUCCAUUUUUAUCACCUUCGGGCUACAUCUUCAUCCUGUUAUGAGAGAAGACCUUUUUCCCAAAGCUGAAGCCCCAUGUAAUAAUCCAUGUCAUACUGAAAACAUAUGGUCAGUCACGUUUUUGAGGACCUUCAGAAGAGGAAGGCCACCAACACUCUCCAUUGCUAAAAUGUUUGUCUGGAACCGAAGGUCAGGAGCUAAUGAAUGAAAUACAUACAUGACUAUGCGGAGCUCAUAUUGGGUCUAGCCCUUUACUUGGAAAACUUUUUAGACAAGGAUUUUAUUGGCCGAAGGCAGCUUCGUAUGCAGCGGAUUUAGUUCAAAAAUGUGAAAACUGCUAGAAGUGUGCCAGAGACAAAAAACAACCUUCGUCUCUAACUCAGCUAAUCCAGCUCACCUAGCCAUUGCAAAGGUGGGGUCUAGAUUUAUUAGGCCCACUUCCACCAGCGCAAGGAAAUUUAAAAUAUGUUGUAGUAGCGGUGGAAUACUUUUCAAAGUGGGUCGAAGUUAAACCUUUAGCUACAAUCACUUCGACCACGGUUCAAAAGUUUUUCUAGCAGAAUAUUGUUUGUUGCUUCGGUGUGCCGAAGGCCAUUAUAGUUGAUAACGAAACUCAAUUUGAUGCCGAAACAUUCAAAUCUUUUUGUGACCAAAUCGGUACAAAAAUACAUUUUGCAUCAGUGAGACAUCCAGAAUCAAAUGGUCUGGUAGACAAAGCUAAUGGAAUCAUAAUAACAGGAAUAAUGAAGUCAAUCUUCAAUCAGCCAAAAGGAAAGUGGCCAGACGAGUUAAUAAAAGUGGUAUGGAACCACAACACUAUUGUCUCAAGGUCGAUAGGAUUUACCCCAUUCAAGCUUUUGUUCAGUGACGAAGCAAUAACACCAGAAGAAGCAAGAACGGGUUCAAUAAGGACCCUAGCUUCAGCAGAAAAUGAGGAGGAUUGUAAAAUAACAAAACACCAUAGAAGGGACCAGACUUUAGGCAAUAGAUCACAUAAAUAAAUAUCAAGCUGAAACAAUCAAAUAGAGUGAUUGGAGGGUAAGACUAAAAAACAUCAAGCCAGGACACUUGGUACUUUGGAGAGUGGCCAACCCGGAUACAGUGGGAAAACUUCAGCUCAAAUGGGAAGGUCCUUUCUUGGUGGUAUCUUCAUCAAGACCUGGAUCGUACAGGUUGAAAGACAUGGAUGGAAACGACAUUCCAAGAUCGUGGAAUCCAAAUGAGCUUCGGAGAUAUUAUGUGUAAAUUUUGUAAUUUUCUUUUUUUCCCUAUGGCAUCUUUUUCCUUACAAGAGGGGAGAAAGGUUUUUAAUGGGGCCAUGGGUUGUAAUUUUUAUUUUUUGUGCAGCCCUUUGCAAUACAAGGGCCAAAUUCCCCCACAUGUAAAAUGUAAGGUUCUGGGAUUACACCAUCGAGUGUAAAAAAGUAUGAAGAAGUUCCAAAGUCAUCCCUAAGGGGAUGUAGAGCUAGAAUGCCACCUAAGUAAAAGGUGAAGAAGCUCCAAAGUCGUCCCCAAGGGGAUGCAGAGCUAGAAUGCCACCUAAGUAAAAGGUGAAGAAGCUCCAAAGUCUUUCCUAAGGGGAUGCAGAGCUUAGCUCCAAAGUCGUCCCCAAGGGAAUGAAGAACUGAAUAACCACUUAAGUAAAAGGUGAAGAGACUCCAAAGUCAUUCCUAAGGGGAUGCAAAGUCUGGAUGUGUAUUCGCGUGAGUUUUUUACCUUCGGCAUACAUUUGCAUACUUCAUCACAUCAUCUUUUGCAUUCAUACAAACAUGCAUUAGGCAUCUAUAGAUCCAUCAUCAUGACAUAAAGCAUAAAGCAUUAACAGGAAAAGUGAGGAUUUAUGCCUUCAAUGAGAAAACGCUUCGUAUAUACAGAGAUGCUUCAUCUCAAAUGAAAUUUUGUUGCAUAUGAGAACCGAUCUUUGAUUUUGGUAGAUGCUUCGAUGUGAACGAAAAGAAGGGAAGGUGUUUUUAGCCUUCAGCUCAAAACGCUACGAGCAUCGGUUUCGUCCACAUCAAAGCAGACGACACACAAAUGAAUGGUAAAAUAGCAUUACAAAGCAUUUACAAAUAUUUACAACUAUCUGAUCACAUUCAAUUACAAUCCUUUAUCAAAUAAUACACUUUUCUUACACAAAGAAUUUCCAAAAAGUGUUUCUAUAGAUAUCAACAAAGGGAGCCUCUAAAGUCUUCUCCAAGGGUUCAGACCUAACUUCGGUUCACUAACUUUCGGCGCCAUCACCCUGAAGAAUGGCGAAGGUAAGGGUAAUGAGGAAUACGGUAAGAAAAAACGUAAAUAAAAUAAUAGAGGUAAAGAGUUAUACUAUGUUGAGCAGAUUUCGAGCUUCGUUUCCAACCAACUCUCGGCCGCCCUUUGCCCACAUUUGGGUGAUAAACCUGUUGCCUAUGCUUCAAGCUUCGGCUGGAAUAUCAACUAGGUCCGAUGGAAAAAAGUUGAAAUUUGGCCUGUUAACGACCCUUGAGUGGAUGCACCCAGCUUUUAUGAAAGCGGUGGCCAUACCACGAGAAGCCACUAGCGCAUAGAAGUCACCGUGGCCAGUUAUGACUUCGUCGAGGACGUCAACCUCUUUCUCGACGCAUUCAAGUGCUCCGGGAACAUCUUUGGCAGAGAGGCUAGCUUCCUCGGAUGCAGCUCCAACUGAAUUGAAUAUACUCUUUAAUCGAGUAGUGCAUUGUCUUGCAAAACUUAAACAUUUAUCCUUAAGAGUUCUGAGUGCUUCACUGAGCUUGAGGUUCCUCUCAGCCUCAACCUUGAUUAUCAUGAUCAAGGCUUUGGUUUCACGGUUGAAUCGGCUGGAGUUCUCUUCCAAAAGCAUCUGAGUCUCUUUCAACUCCUCGCUCAAUUUCUUAUUCUGAGCCCGCGUUUCGGCAAGCGAUCCUUCGGCUGAAUGCAACAAAUCAUCUUUUUCUUUUAAGGAAUCUUCAAGUUUCUUGAUUUUAUCUUCAAAACUCUUGACAACAAUUUCGUUCUUUCUGUCUUCAUCAUCUUAUUGCAUUUUCAAAGCUUUGCUGAAUAAUAAACUCUGUAAAAUUUAAUUAAAGUUAGAAUACCUAAAUCAACUCGAAGAUAUCAAGGUAACUCACAAAGGAGCCUUACUUUGAAGUAAAAUAAGUUGUCGAUGAUGUGCUGGUGUCUGGAAUCCAAUACUCUUGGAUAGAGUGCUUAUAAUUUUAGCAAUGGCGCGGUCGCGGAUGCAUCCCACAAUUUCUUCAUCGACCUCGACGAAGAGCAUUGACCCCGGCUGGUAGCCGUAGGAGAUAGCAAAUUCUUUUAGCUGUUGGCCGCCCAAGUGUCGAAGGACGAAAUUCACGCCUUCCGAAGAGGUUUCUUCAAUUUUCAUCCCCUUAUCAGAAACUACUGCGGCUACCUCUUUCUCCGCAACCACGUCUGAUAUAAGUCUGUCGAUUUCUGACAGCGUGGUUGUAAGAUUUUCGUCUUCGGCUGUGACGGUAGCUUUGGCAUCAUUAGAUCUAGUAACUGUGUCUGCCGAAGCUGAGGGCGGGGUCUGUUCAAUGGCUUCCAGUAUAUUCAUCAUAAGUUGUUUCUUCUAGCCCCCGUUUUUUCCCUCAACAACCAAAGAGAUUUCCCUUGUCUGUAAGAGGCUAGUCAGUUCCAACCUUAGAGGACUUAGCAGUGCAAAUGGGAAAGACUCAGUCAUUACCUUCAACUUCAAUACCCCUGAGACCUCAGUAGCAGAAGACGUAGAAGGGCUUGUAGUUUGCUUCAGCACAUCUUGCAUCUUCGUCUUCUCAGAGGAUAUCUCGGUAAGCUUCUAUUUUUUGGGAGCCGAUACUUUCAGCUCCGGUACAGUUUUUCUGUACUUCAAAGCCUCUUGGUCUUCUUUAACUGACCGGAUAGCCUGCCUACUUAAAAUAUUGAUAAUCCUCUUUCUCUUGACUCCUCUGGCCCUUUCAUCAAGCCUUUCGUAGUCAGGAUACUCAAAGUUAAGAGCAUCCAUUACACGGUUCAGCCUUCGCUUUGGCCGGGUGCCGAAGGCAGCAGUCAUUAGCUGAUCUUCUUUCUUCAUAUAGUUUCCAAGAAUUUCAUUGCACAUGGAUUCUAUCAAUUCUAACCAUUCAGUGCUUGUUUCUUUAAAUCUUUUCUAAAACUUGAAACGGUACGGCAGACGGACAAGCUCAUAUUUCUUCCCCUCUUCUUUCUUCUUCGGCAUUCCCCAGCCGCCAGAAGUUGGGAAUGCCCGGUUUGCUAGAUAUUCUUAUACCAAAUCUCUCGUGCUGAUACUGUCGCACCCGGUUUUGGAAGGCACACUGAAUGCGAACCAUGUACGUGCCAGGAUCAGAAACUCACGUACACAAUGAUUACAUAAUUGGACAUCAUCACACAAUGCUCAAAGUAAAUAGCGGAAAGGCACUUUAUUACAAUAAGAUGUCCGAGACAUCCACAGAGUCUAAUACAUAGCCAUAAUCAUUAACAUGAAUAUCAAAGUGUGGAAUACGAAACGUAGAAGAUAAGCCUACAUAGGCAGCUGACUGGGGGUUUGUCACUAAGAAAAACUAGAACUCGUCGUAGUCCUGGAAGUCCUCAAAGUCCUCCAUGUUGCCAGCAUCUCCUCCUGAGCACUGAAUAUAGUGGGGACAACCUAGGGUGAGGGUGGUUUGUAAAGCAAGGGUGAGUACACAUCAACGUACUCAGCAAAUGUUCUGUUUGGCUAAAGUGGUCUAGAUGUAUGUGGGGUUGAGGUUAAGCAGUUGCUUAUAGUUGGUCAAACAUUUAUUACUAUUAGUAGAGCCAAAUUUUAGUAAUAAACCUAGUUUUUACCCAAAAGUACUCCCUCCAAGAGGAAAUACCAGAGAUUAGAAUUAUAACCAACAUUCUUAACCAUCAUCAUAAAGUAAUCAAAGUUCUUCUAAUCAAAGAGGAUCCCAAGGCCGCUCUUAACCAUGAGCUCGGCUGAUAUACCAGUUUCUAAUACUCUGUAGAGGUUGCACACUUUACCCACGAGUCGUGAUCCCUUUGAAGCCUUGGUUGUAUAGACCCGAUCUUCACUACUGAGGUGAAUGGCUAGGGAUACACUACGUAGCCUUUACCAAGACUCCCCUGGUGCGUAGCUGCUCAUUAAGUUUCUCCAGUCGUACAAACGCAGUACACCUCCCCAAGGUGGGUGACUAACAAAACCAAAUCGAAUGAACCUCUGCCCCCCCCCCCUUGGCAGAGCGAGCACUACGCCCCAGCCCCCAUUGACGGCCCUCAGGCAAAGCCAACUACACUCCCAGGUUCAUCUAAUUAAUCAGCUAAGGGCGUCCCAUUCCACCCCUCAUGGUUGCACUGUUGUUGGGGGCCUUCGGCUUCUGAAGGUCCUCAAAAACAUGAUUUAACAAUGUUUUCCAAGUGAAAUAUGUGAACAGGUAUCUUCGGAAUCGGGUUAUGAGUAUACAAGAGUAUGGUCAGGACGAAGCCUGAGCGAGACGGAAAGCGAUUAUGACGAAGGAUAAGAUGAUCACGAAGCUGUGCGCAGAAAAGCUUCGGCAUGAUAGCAGAGAAGGGGAAUCGACUUAAAGAUGAAAAGGCAAAUUAGACCUCGAAGAAUUACUAUAGAAUUAUUGAUAAAUGUAAAGGGCACAAAUGUAAUUCUACACGGGCUGCGUCCCUUGCCUAUAAAUAGAUGAACAGUACUCCCGUACUGUUCAUGCUGACUUGGCAUUUGCUUUUCGCAUCACGCCUGUACCUUUACUUUCCGUCAAUCCGAAGGUAAAUUUAUAAUUUGUUAUUUUGAACUUGAUAAUGUAAAUAAAAAUAAAUUGAUAAUAAUAUUUAAAUUAUUCUUCGUAUUUCGUAUAUGAAUUCUUCUUUAUUAUCUAUCGAGCUUACGAAGGUUUUUUCCUUCAUAACCUUCGUCCGGGACUCAUUAUAUCCGAAGGGACAUAAUGUCUUGAAGGACGAAGGACUUUAAUAUUUAAAACUUUUUAUGUUGCCUUGUUCUUAACUCUUAGCAUUUGAGAACAAGUCCCCAACAUUGGCGCCCACCUCCGGUGAACUCACUUCCAUUUUUUGAGUUUUGAACACCUUCGGCAAGCAUCACCUUCGUCAUGCCGCCGAAGAAAGCUUCAGCAACAGGGGCUGCCACUCUGCAGCCGCUGGACCCCAAUCAGGAUGUCCUUUCUCUUAGGGAGGCCCAAAGCCAGAAGAGGAAGGCCACCAGUCCAACGCCUCCGGAAGACGACUUGGAUCAAGAAAUCCAAAACUUGGAGAUGCUCCAUCAACAGGUACAACGGAAGAAGGAAAAGAUGGCUCGUCUAGCUGACCUGCAAAGGCAGAUAGACGAAGCCUCUGAAGAAGUUCGUCAUCUCGCUCAAGAUGACCAGAACCGAAGGCCUCCGCAUAGAGAGCUUCAUCAGGAGGGCUUCUACAACGAGGAAGACUGGUAUGAAGAUUUCCAUCAUGGAAAUUUUGCUUUUGAUGAUACUUCUCCUCUGACAACAGAACUGCAGGUUACACCUUGGCCCCAGUCUUACAAGCCACCUCAACUCCCCAUGUACGACGGUCAUUCAGACCCGAAGCAAUUCUUGAUGAGUUAUGAAGCAACCAUAUCUUCGUAUGGUGGCAAUACUGCAGUCAUGGCAAUGUCUUUCGUCAUGGCUGUCAAGAGUGUUGCGCAAACCUGGUACUCCUCUCUUCGGCCAGGAACAAUCACUUCAUGGCAAAAGCUGAAGGACAUGCUGAUAACCAGCUUCCAAGGGUUUCAAACGAAGCCGGUCACUGCUCAAGCUUUAUUUCAAUGCACCCAGGACCACGAAGAAUACCUUCAGGCGUAUGUCUGAAGGUUCCUGUGUCUGAGGGCACAGGCACCAACAGUGCCCAAUGAAAUUGUCAUUGAGGCCAUGAUUAAGGGGCUUCGGCCGGGACCUUCAGCUCAAUACUUUGCCAGGAAGCCUCCUCAAAUUUUAGAGAAGCUGCUCCAGAAGAUGGACGAGUAUAUUAGAGCUGACAAUGACUUCCGCCAAAGAAGGGAGGAAGCAUACAGGUUCUCUGAAAUGACCAGGGGCUUCGGAGGAAGAUUCCAUCCGAGGCACGUCAGGUCAAUUCACAACUCUACUCAGAGUGAUGAUAGAGGGAGUCAACAGCAAAGGUCAUAAUACUCCUCGCAAGCUUCGGAGCAGCAACAAAGCUCUUUCCGGCCGCCAGCUCCAAGGGGCAGAGGCGCCAGGGGCUUCGUAGGAAGAUUUGGGGAUCAGCCAAGGAAAAUUUAUUGUCUAUUCUGUGGUGAGGACAAGGGUCAUACCACCAGGAUGUGCUAUGUUACCAUCCAGAAGCAAAAGGAGAUAGCAGAAGCUGCAGCACAAUAGAGUCAGCCGAAGCAAGUCAUGCAUACUGCUUCGUACCAUUCGCCUUACAUUCCAGAAUAUGUAGGCAACCACCUUGCAGCUUCUGUUGCUUCAACAAGCCAACCCCAAGCAUCUUGGCAACAGCCUCCACCUCCACCACCAACGCAAUGCGACCAGCAGCCAGAAGGGAGUUAGCACACUCACCUCCAACGGGACUUUAGAGAAGAGUCUGAAGCUCGCACAGUCAAUAGCACUAUGCGAGAGUCGUAGCAUAUUUACUGACAAAUAUCCUACCCCGACAACAGUUUUUCGCAUUCAGUAUUAUUUUCUUUUUAAUAAGGAACAAUUAUGGGAGGCUUAAGUGCUUUUUUGUCGUUUUUAAUCUCUUGUAACAGUUUCGCUUUUUUACCAUAAUGAAAAUAUAUCUUCUCCAUAGGCUUAAGUUGCCGAAGCAUAAGAAUUUAUGGUGGCAAGGAGGACCUUCGAAUUAUCGAAAAUUUUGUUCUAAGUAAUGCAGCAUAAUUUCAUCGAAGCAGCAAAAAGUCGUUCCUAAGGGAGCGCAGUGUAAGUUUUUUGCUCAAAAGUCGUUCCGAAGGGAAUGCAGAGCUUACAGCGAAAAAUAAACGCUGAUUCCGCUGAAAGUAAAAGGCGAAGAAGCUCCUAAGGGAGGCUUACAGCGAAAAAUAAACGAUGAUUCCGCUGAAAGUAAAAGGCGAAGAAGCUCCUAAGGGAGGCUUACAGCGAAAAAUAAACGCUGAUUCCGCUGAAGUAAAAGGCGAAGAAGCUCCUAAGGGAGGCUUGCAGUGAAAAAAUGUCGACCUUCGGCAAAUAUCAUAUUGCAUAACAUCACAUCAUUACAUCAUUUACAUAACAUAACAUCAUACAUCAUAUUGCAUCAACAACGCAAGAAUGGGGUUUUAGUAUUGAUAUUCGAAGAUUGUUUCGAAGAAAUAGUGACAAGGCACAAAAAAUAGCUAUUGAAAAGUUAUACCUUCGUCAAAUUCUGAAAUGGAAAGAUCUAUUGGUUAUUGAUUUUACGAGGAUUGGUUACUGAUCUUAUGAGAACACAGAUAUUGUUUACGAAGCAUGAAAAGAAGGGAAGGUGUUUUUUCGCCGAAGGCUCAAAAAUGGUAUGUAUAAGAAGUUUCAUGCAUCGUAAAAAAUAAAACCAUAAACAGCUAAUAUAUUACAUUCAAAGUUACAAAAUAUUACACAUGUUUCUCAACAAAUGUUACAUUCUAAAUGUUUUUACAAUAACAUUUAAUCUUCCCUUAGAACUAUUUCUGCAGCUUCGUUUAGUAGCUGAUCAACAACUUUAUCCAUGAUAGCUUCGGCCAUUUUUCUAAUUUUGUCGUCCCCCUUCGCGGGGGGGGGGGGGGUCCGCUAAUGGCUCGGUAGGCUCUGAGGGAGGAGAAAGUACGGCUUUAUUACAAAACGUAAGCAAGUCUGAAAUUAAAAAUUACAACAAAGAGCCAAAAACCACUAGUCAGUACCUAAUUGCUCUUCGGGAUCCACACUUUUUUCAGUAGUCUCUGCUACUUUCCUAGCGUCAUGAAUGCCUUUCUCGCUUUUUCUAAUAAUUUCUUGGGCCAUUUCCCAACCACCAUUGUCCCAGAUGUCGGUGAAAAAUUUUCCACCGACCAGGCUUGCUUCGGUCGAGGGGUCUUUUAUAUCUUCGGAGGAUAAGGCGGCUUCGGAUUGUGCCAAGAAUUUCACAUGCUCACAGCCUUUCCUCUCCAAAAUGGUAGCAAUCCCCCUGGCACCCGAAAAGGCACAUAUGUCUCCGCGGCUAUUCAAAAUUUCUUCAAAGGCCUCAGCCUCGUGGCUGAUCCAUUCGAUUGGGCCUUCGGGGUCACCCCUUGUAAAGUUCUCCUCACUUGAGAAUGCGCCAACGCUGGCGAAGCUGGUUUUUACUUUUUUAACACAUUCCACAGAUUUUUCAUAGCAUCUUUUCUUAGAUGCACGAAGCUCUUCAACGCUUUUUUCCAAAUGGUUGGCCCAUUGUUCACUGAUUUCUCGUUUUGUUUCUUCAAGUGUGCGUUCCUCUUUAGCUCUGGCUAGUUGUUUUCGGAGAUCUUCAAUUUCACGCCUCUGAGCCUCAGCUUGAACUUUAAAAGUAGCUUCGUCUUCUUUUAUUCUAUUUAUCAAUGAAUGCAAUAUUUUAUCUUUUUCGAGACCUUCGUUCCUUAGUUCAAUUACUUCGGAACGAAGGUUGCUCAGGGCCAUAACACACCCUUCGUCUUCGGCAUCUUUUUGAGCCCUGAGGGCAUUGCUAAGUAUAAGACCCUGCAAAAAAGUUUGGUUUCAAUAAGUUUAAACAAAUGAAAAAUUUUGAUUCCAAGAAAUAAUAACAAAAAACCUUAUUUUCGCACCUUUAAGCUAUUGUACGCCAAGUUGUCGGCUAGAUCGUCUUUUGAUAACACUGAGAGCCCGUUUCCUAGUAUUGGGAAUCUGAAGCUCUUGCUCAUCUCCCGACAGACAGAAAUCUCCUUGCUGUUAGGGAGACAAUACAAAAACUCUUCUUCUCCACUGCCGUUGAAUAUCAACGCCCCCUUUGGAUAUUUCAGCUUUUGAGCGUAAAACUGGGCCUCUUGCUUUUCUUUUUCAGUCAAAUUUUUCCUCGAAGCAUGACGUAAAAUAUAAUCUAAGGCUUCGGAAGAUGCUUCGGGGGCGGCAAUACCAGUUUCUUCAGCCGAAAUUUGUUCUGCUGUUUCUGUUUCUUCGGCUUCCAAGGAUUUCACCUUGGUGGGCUCUGAAGGCCCAGCUUUAGUCUCAGAUUGAUGUUUUGAAACUUCGGCAUCAAGUGUUUCAAUAUGCACUUCAGAAGAUUCAACAAUUUUCUUCGGAGUUGUGCUUGAAGACUUUAUUGUUUCCAAAACAUCCAGCACAUUAACCAUCCUUUUUCUUUUGGGGGUCACUGCUGGACCCUUUUGGCUUGUUGCUGCCUCAAUUUUUGCUGAAGGACUUAGAACUUCCGAUGUCUUUGAUUCUUCAGCCCUCGGUUCUUCUAUUUUUUUCGUCGCUGGCACUUCGGCCGGCCCUUCAAUAUUCGGCAGGGGAGUUGGUUCUUUAGCUUCGGUGGCCGAAGAGGUCUCACCGACAAACUCAGGCACUGUGGCCGGUUCAAUAUAACGUGGCCGAUGUGUGAGAACCUUUACCCUUUUCCUAUUCGGCGUCGACUCGCUAGGAGCGGCUGAAGCAACUUCCUUCGCAGAAGAUGUAUUCUUUCUUUUUUGACCCCACGUUAGAUAACGGUAGUCGGGGUAGACAAAUCCAAUUGCAUCAAAUACUCGGUUGAGUCUCUUUUUUUUCGGCCUCCGAAGGCCGCUGAUAAUGCAGUAUCUUCGGCCUUCGAGUAUAAUCCAAGAAAUUCAUCACUUAUGGCCUCAAUACUUUUUAGCCAGUCAUCAUCUGGCUCGACGAAUUUAUCUCCAUAUUGGAAUGUGUAUUUUAGCCUAACUAAUCCACCUUCGUCAGUUUCUCUAACGGUCUCCUUCAGCAUUUCCCACUUUUCUACAAGUGGCCAUAUUCUGAAGGCAAUGUGUUUUUGGACCAAAUCCCUUGUCCCAAUAAAAGAGCAAACCACGCCGAAGGCUCUCUAGCAUUCUUCGGCUGCUUCAUUCAUUUCCACCUUCGGCCUCCGAAGGUCGAAGCAUUGCCAGAUAGGGCACAUAAUGAUAUCUUUAAUAUCUUCCCAUGUUUUCAAGUCAUUCUUCACAUAAAACCAUUCCGUCAUCCAGUCGCCGGGCCACCUCUUUCGAAAGGUUGGCACGGGACAGCUUGACCCAGACCGGGCGCCGAAGCUGUAGCAGCCAAAAUUGUUGUGAUACUGCUCUUUACCCCAGGGUUUUGUCUCAUACAAUAGCUCAUGUAUGUUGCCGAAACGUUUUGCAUUUGGUUCUAAACCUUGGCUCCUCACGGCCCAGACAAAGAUACCCAUUCUUAUGAUUACUUCGGGAGUAAGUUGAUGAAGGUAGAUUUCAAAUAUCUUCAGUACUUCCACGACAAAAUUGUUCAAGGGAAACCGCAGUCCAGCCUUUAAGAAGCUUCGGAAGAUUACGACUUCAUUCUCUUCGAGAGUAGGCACAGUCUUCUCCCCGUCAUCUGCCCUCACAGUAGACAUGUCUCGAAAAUAUCUUACCCUCAUGUUAUCAAGAUGACUCUGUUUAAUGCUCGAUUUUCCGAAGAUUGUGUGACUUGGUCGCCACGGUCGAUCUUCGGAGUCUUCACCCCCACUUUCUACAUCAUAGCUGUCACUGUCACCAGUGUCUUCAGAUAAACCCUCCAAAAUCUCCCUAGUGAUCUUCUCUGUAUUGGUCUUUGAUAUUGAUUGAAGAAACCCGAGAUGCAUCUCCUCAGAAAGGCUCAGCUUCGAUUCAGCAAUAGCUUUCUUAUCUUCAGACAUCUUCGCAAACGCUGAGAAAGUGCUCUCAAAUCCGAAGCUUAAAAAUUUUUAAAAAAAGCCAAGCAAGUGUUGUUGCGCACAGGCUAAAAGUCGAGAGAGCAAGAGCAGAUGGCAAGAAAGCGUGCCAAAUAAACUCGUGGUAAGCUCUUAUUUAUACACAUAGUGCGUUGAAAACUGGAGGGUCCCGCUUGUCAAUGACUUUUGCUAUUCUAGCAAAGGGAAGGUGUUUUUUCGGACCUUCGGCUUAAGGCCUUCGUCCAUGUCGCAAUAUGAAUUUAUCAUUCUAGCAAAUUAAUAUUGCGAGGGGCUACUGUUGGGGGCCUUCGGCUUCCGAAGGUCCUCAAAAACAUGAUUUAACAAUGUUUUCCAAGUGAAAUAUGUGAAUAGGUAUCUUCGGAAUCGGGUUAUGAGUAUACAAGAGUAUGGUCAGGACGAAGCCUGAGCGAGACGGAAAGCGAUUAUGACGAAGGAUAAGAUGAUCACAAAGUUAUGCGCAGAAAAGCUUCGGCAUGAUAGCAGAGAAGGGGAAUCGACUUAAAGAUGAAAAGGCAAAUUAGACCCCGAAGAAUUACUAUAGAAUUAUUGAUAAAUGUAAAGGGCACAAAUGUAAUUCUACACGGGUUGCGUCCCUUGCCUAUAAAUAGAUGAACAAUACUCCCGUACUGUUCACGCUGACUUGGCAUUUGCUUUUCGCAUCACGCCUGUACCUUUACUUUCCGUCAAUCCGAAGGUACAUUUAUAAUUUGUUAUUUUGAACAUGAUAAUGUAAAUAAAAAUAAAUUGAUAAUAAUAUUUAAAUUAUUCUUCGUAUUUUGUAUAUGAAUUCUUCUUUAUUAUCUAUCGAGCUUACGAAGGUUUUUUCCUUCAUAACCUUCAUCCGGAACUCAUUAUAUCCGAAGGGACAUAAUGUCUUGAAGGACGAAGGACUUUAAUAUUUAACACUUUUUAUGUUGCCUUGUUCUUAACUCUUAGCAUUUGAGAACAAGUCCCCAACAACUGUUAUCCCGGGUGGUCACUCCACGAACAGGUCCUUACAGAGAAGUACUCAGGAAAAUGGCCUGAGUCCCCUAGAGUAUCAGAAUAUCAUCAUCAGGAUAACAUCAUCGUAUCAUAAAUAAUCACAUCAUGUUCAUUGAUUAAGUUAAAGCAAUAGCAUAAAGCUAACCAUGAUAACCCAAAAAGGUAUACAAGGAUAAGGUAAAUAUAGACUAGUCAAUCCUUAAGUUUCAAUAAUGUAAUGCGGGACAGUGAAUUAUAGAGUAAAUUGGACAUAAUAGGUCAGAGGACACUUGCCUUCACCAGGUUGUUGCUCAGGAAGAUCUUCAGCAACACACUUAGGAACCACGGACUGCUCGUUGUCUAAAUAAAACGAUCAUGCAUUCAAUACAUUUGGUAAAUGACAAAUAAACAACACAUCAAUCAUGUACAAACAUGGGAACACAUCUCAAAAAGAAAAGUAUAAACUCAAAAGGGAAUUUAAAUUAUAGGGUAGACUAAUCUCACUAAGUAGUUGAUUAUUCUUUAAAUGUGUCGGCCUCCAGGUGGUUCACCUUUCCAUACUUGACUCAAGUCUGCCCACAGUUGUUGCCUCUAUGAUGCAAUGCAUUCUAUUUGAUUGGGGCAUAUGGAGCUGGCUGCUACUGAGCUGCUUUCUGUGGGUAAUGAUUCGCCUAAUGGCCUUGUCCCCCAUAGUGGAAACAUGCAUGACUUCCUCCUUGCGCUGGCGUUGCUUGGUUGCUCUGGUUGGUUGCUAGGACAGGAAGGCGGGGUGCCAGGUUGUUCUGACACUGAUAUUGAUUUCCUCCCUGCUGGUUGUUCUGACGAUACUGCUGCUGCUGGUUCUGGCACUGAUGCUGGUGCUAGUGACCUUGCUUGAAUUGUUGGGGGGGUUGCUUAAGUAGUGGGGACGACUGCUACUCACGACAUGAGAUCCACCAAUCUUGCGUUUCCUGUCCUCCAUCUCCCGACACUUCCUUUCAGUCAUAAUGGCUCUAUCGAUCAAACGGUGAAAGGUUGGGAAAGUGUGGUUCAUCAGCUGGUAGUGGAGGGGAUCAACCAAUCCUCUCAGGAAACGGUAUUGCCUCUUGGCAUCCGUCUUGACAUCUUCCGGGGCAUAACGUGACAGCUGCAGAAACUUGUCUCUGUACUAACUGAUAGACAGGGGACCUUGCUUCAAGGCGAGAAACUUCUCCUUCCUCACUAUCAUCAGUCCCUCGGGCACAUGGUAGCGACGGAAGUUGUCCCUGAAUUCCUCUCAGGUGAUGGCUUCAGGGUUGGCAUGGGUGGCGAGGUAAGACUCCCACCAAGACUGUGCUGCUCCUGUUAGCUGUCGGGGACCAUACAACACCUUCUCAUGAUCGUUGCACUGAGCAGUGUGCAACUCACGUUCCACGGUACGCAACCAAUCUUCGACGUCCAUGGGAUCAACAGAAUGGGCAAAGACAGUGGAUGGCCCCUCAUGAAUUUUGCCCGCUUGUCUCUAGGCACCUGUGGCAUCUGGACUUGCACCUGAGGUUGAGGUGGGGGUGGCUGCUGCUGCACAUGCUGCAUCGCUGCUAAGGUCUUACCAAUUGCUUGGACUGCUUGGGUCUGCAUCAGGAACAUUUGCUCAAUGGUCAUCGGGGGUGGCAGUGGCAACUACUGUUGAGCUGCAUCUUCCUGGGGUGCCUGCUGUUCUGGCUGAGCACGCUUUGCACCUCUAUGCCUGUUCUCAGACAUCUGUAGAAUCACACACCUAUCAAAUCUGACUCUGCAGUCCUUCAGCAUAAGAAAAGAUGUACAGAAAUCCUCAUAACACUAAACAAUUGAUCAUCCUCACUGACAGCUUCUCAAAUAAAGAGGAAAGUGGAAAUAAAGGGAUUACCCAACUAAAUAACUGACUUUAUUAAUAACUACACCAAGUUGCAGGGGAUACCCACUCCUUGAUGACAAUCAUUACAAAGAUCCAACUUCAUUACAUGUUCAUCAUGACAGAAAUAUUUUCAUAUGAUAAGCAAACCAACUCUAACUAAGACUGACUAAGACUAAGAUACUGAAUUAAUCAUUAUUAUAGACUCUGACUCUGUCGAUCUAUGGAUUCAAAUCUAUCUGGGUCCUGCAGUCAGGGAUAGCAUACUCAAAGCAACCAUGGGGCGGUGAACGGUAAGGGUGCUGAAUCCUGACAGGGGCGGGAGAACCACCAUCCAUAUAGUGGCGUGCUACGCUGAGCACACAAUUCCGCAACCUCAGCCCGAACCUUGCCCAACUCGUCAAGGGCGUGGUCCAGCUCUAUUUUGAGCACGACGACCAGGUUGACCAUGCUGUUCAGCCUAGGAUUGCCCUCACCAAUAGGCGAGACAAUCACACCUCCAGCACUGCCGAUCGAACGGCGAGGGUAGUACUUCAGGUCAAGGCCAUCAGCUACCCCGCUGAACAACAAGCAAUACUAAGAAAGUGUCCGUCGUGCUGCAUCUUGCAUGGCUGCCUCGACAGUAUCUCUCUCAAUAAUAGAAUAGUGCUCUGAGAAGGCCUCUGCACCCUGGAGAUCAUCGUCUGGAUGGCGCACCAAGCAAGUAGCCUCCCACUGGUCUGGGUAUAACCGUCAAUGAUGCGGUAGACUACACAACGGUACUCGAUAGACCAAGUGUGUCGGUCGAAGGCCUGACACAGCAAGGUGUUGAGAGCAUUGUGGAAGUGACACCCGCGAGCGGCGUCACAAGUGAUGGGUCUAGCAAUCCACCCCUCCAGCUCCGGCUCCUCCGAGAGCUCCAUGUUGUAGCUUGAACUGCCGUUGGCGUCGUCGUCAUCUCCGUCUCCGUCAGGGUCUCCUCCAGCAGCCGAGAUGCCCUGAGGUGGUGCAGCGGACAUCUCUGGCUGAGGUGCAGGGGAAGGCGGCCUCCUAGACUCCACCUCCUGCUGAGGCGAGGGGAAGAGUCCUGCUGCUCCUGCUCCAGCUCCUGGCGUUGGCGCUCCUGCUCCUCGUGCAGGUGACGAUGCAGUCUCUCCAGGUGACUGGACUGACUUGGCACCGUGCGACGUAGUGGACGCUCCACCGGACGAGAAGGCAAAAAGGGGAUCACUGACUUACGUGUCGUGCAUCUAAUACAAGCCAUCUACAAAACAUCGUAAGCACAAGAGUGAGAGAAGAACUAUAAGACCAAAAAGUAAACAGAAUGAAAAGUGAGACAAAAAUCUUUUGUGAGAUAAGUAGAUAACAUAGAAUUGGUCAAGAUAACCAACUUUUGAAAGGACACUAAGGUCAAGGUAAGGGUAGAGGUCUAUAGUCCUUAGGGCGACCAUUCUAGUAUAGGUUAGCGGUCCUACAGUCAGCAAGGCAUUGAUACCACU
rnacentral:lncRNA from 1 species